rnacentral:lncRNA from 1 species
UCCUGUACAACUAGUUACAAUCAUGACACAAAUUAUCAUGGGUCGAUUGGUCUUUUCCUCUUUAAGUCGGUGCAGCCCUUCGUCUCAAGGCAUGUCGCUAUGCCGAAGCUCCUUGGAUGGUAGCUUCGGCGCGUACCGUCGCACUAUGUUUGCUUCUAUGCUUAUCUUUCGAAGGUGUUUCUUCUUAAAGGACCUUCGGCGACGAAGCAGACCCCCAACAGUAGCCCCUUCGCGGUGCUAGAUCGUUUUUCGUAAUGAGCUUGGUCCGUGAAAAAUCUCUAAGGCUUCGGAAUGCCGAAGGUUCGAAAAACACCUUCCCUGAGCUCGUUGUUGAGAAACGAUUAAAAUAUUCCGAGCGCGAUGUGGCCCACUGUGGGGGACAGAUAUCCCCCGUGUCCACUAGAAGGCAAGAAGGCCUCGCGAAAGGCCUCAGGCCCAUUAUGUCGCAAGGCCAUCCCUUCGUGGGCCAGGAGAGGAAUGUCUAGCAGAAUGGAUCAGUAUAAGAUCAGAUUGACUUGAGCCCGUGUGGCCCACUGAAUCCAAACGUUAUCCACAAUAGUGAUCCAAUUCUCUCGUGUGGCGCCCUCGAAUAUUGGAAUUGAAUGAUGAUAAGUCGACAGGAUUAUAGGAAGAUAGUCGGUUCACUAUUACUUAGGCACACGUUGUUAUCAUAUCCGCAUGUAACGCCCCACGGUCGAGUAUAUAAGGCCUAGGGGGCACCCCAUCAAACAACAACUCACUCAUUAGAUGUCUACUCAGCACUCUAGUAUCCCUCAUACUAGAGAACUCCCCUGUAACCCACCACAUAAAAGAUUCACACUAGGAAGUAGGGUGUUACGCCUCUCUAAGUGGCCCGAACCUGUAUAAAAUUGUCCACUGUCUCUCGUGCAUCUAGCACGAACCAUCGAGCUACAGUCGGCAACACAGUCCUACUCCAAAAAGCACCUCGAGGGGCAACCCCAGGUAUGCGGUCGGACCCAAAACACCGACUGCUGGCACGCCAGGUAGGGGGGGUGUCACUGAUACAAGCUAGCUCAAUGGCCGUCACUUUCCAGCACAAGAUCACUCUCCGCCCUGGAUCCGUGUUCUGCUUCGGAACCAUCUCGUCCGUGGCAGACGAAGAAGGAACUCUACAUCGCAUAGUGGAUACACCGGAGAGAAAACCUUCCUCGAUAAUCCCUGGGAAAGUCGGAACGAAGCAGGAAAUAGUGCAACCUCCAGCGCUCCGAGCAAAGACUUCCUCCUGCAAGCCAGGAGCGGAAAAUUCAUUCACCUGAAGAACCCCGUUGUCCACCUCAUCCACAGAAGAGUGGACACGGAUUACGAGGAAAAAAGAAACGAAGACCCGUCAAGCUACCCUUCUGGUGCCUCCGCCCUCAAAGGAGAACAGAAAGAAGCUUGUCGUCACGACAACUCUGUUCUACCCCGACGUCCUCUUUAUCGGGGGGAGAGUGGAGUCGUCCCCCAUCUCCGACGACGAACCAACUGUGCCUGGGGAAGAACCACCUCAGCGGGAAGCUCGUCGACAAAGGAACCAACGUCAUAACGCCCGGCGACAUCAUGAAGCCGGAGAACGAUAUCCGGCGCAGCCUGUGUCGCGAGAUGAGAUCUCGGAGGUGGGAGAAACUCCAGAUGAACGAGUCUUCAGGGAAAGGAGGAAUUCCCGCCGACGUGAUCGUUGGCAAGCUCAAGAGCAGGCCGAGCAGGAGGCGAGACAACAUCGAGAGAACCCUCUCCUCGGAUGAAACUUGAACCCCAACUUCGCCUGAACCAUGAACACACCGAGCGAGGUCGGUGGAGUGUUGGCUCGGAUAGCUGAUAGCCUCCCCUGGACUCCAGACGCCGAGGGAUAUCGGCGGCUUCUCACUCAGGCAGCUAACCAUCUUCUGCCUUUCGCUCGUCCUCCGAGCGAUCUACGACAUGCCACCAAUAGUCGACGGGACGCAUGGAGCUCCAUCAAUGCUUCGCGCGAACGACAACAUGAGAACGAGAUUCGGCGCCGAGAAGAGUAUGAUCGGGAUCACGGCAUCCCUGCACGAAGUCAGGCCACCAGGCUUGAGUCGGCAACAUCUUCAACUGGCGGCACAACCCGGGGACGGUCGAGGCAGCACAUCGACUACUCCCCUCCCCGGGACAGACACCACAACCGUCGACUAGAAGACACGUGUGGAGUAUCGGCGCUUACUCCACGUCUCAGGGCCAUUCAGUGCCCCCCUAACUUCAAGGUCUCCAACGUCGACAAGUACGAGCCUAAGCAGGACUCAGGAGGCUGGUUGGCCGUCUAUACCACUGCUGCCCGACCCGCUAGGGCAACUGAAGAUGUGAUGACUGCGUAUUUGCCCAUCGUCCUUGGGCAAGAUGCGCUGCAAUGGCUACGACACCUGCCCCGACACUGCAUCGACGAUUGGAGCGACUUCAGUCGGUGUUUUAUCGCCAACUUCCAAUACCUCUCCGACAAGCCGGCGCAGCCAUGGGACCUUGAAAGGGAAAUGUGCCCUUGGGCCAUUUCUAAGUAUUUUGGUGAUUGAGUGCCAACACAAGUGCUUAAGUGUUAAUCUAUGCAAAGUGGUGGACAAAGUGCAAAUCAAGUCAAAAGGUAUGUUUCUAGACUUAGUACAUUGUUUUAUGGACUAAUGUAUUGUGUCUAUGUGCUGGAAACAGGAGAAAUCAAACUGGAAAAGAGAUGGCUUUGUUCAGCCAAAGUCUGCUCAGUCUGGAUGCACCGGACUGUCCGGUGGUGCACCGGACAGUGUCCGGUGCGCCAGGCUGGCUCUGGCGAACUCGCUGCUCUCGAGACUUCAUCGGCGGCGUACGGCUAAAAUUCACCGGACUGUCCGGUGGUGCACCGGACUGUCCGGUGAGCCAACAGUCGGCCGGGCCAACGGUCGGCCGCGGAAUCCGCGCGCGACGCGUGGCAAGAGCCAACAGUCGGGAGGGGCACCGGACUGUCCGGUGUGCACCGGACAGUGUCUGGUGCGCCAACGGCUAGGAAUCUGCAACGGUCGGCUUCGCCAAAUAAGGAAGGAGAUUCGCACCGGACAGUGUCCGGUGGUGCACCGGACUGUCCGGUGCGCCAAGCGACAGAAGGCAAGAAUUGCCUUCCUGGAUUGCUCUCAAUGGCUCCUAGCUGCCUUGGGGCUAUAAAAGGGACCCCUAGGCGCAUGGAGGAGAACACCAAGCAUUCUCUAAGCAUUCCUAAGCACCAAGACUUUGAUUCCGCGCAUUUGAUUCUUUGUGAUAGCAAUUAGAGCUCUAUUUGAGUUGUGAACUCGUCGAGUUGUGUUGUGAGCUCUUGUUGCGACUUGUGUGCGUGGUGUCGCUCUGAUUUCGUGUCUUGUGUGCGUUGCUCAUCCCUCCCUUACUCCGUGCUUCUUUGUGAACUUCAAAGUGUAAGGGCGAGAGGCUCCAAGUUGUGGAGAUACCUCGCAAGCGGGAUAUAGUUGAGUGAAAGCAAAACACUGUGGUAUUCAAGUAGGUCUUUGGACCACUUGAAAGGGGUUGAUUGCAAACCUCGUCCGUUGGAACGCCACAACGUGGAGUAGGCAAGUGUUGUACUUGGCCGAACCACGGGAUAAACCACUGUGCCAUCUCUGUGUUGAUCUCUUUGUGGUUAUCGUGUUGUGCAAGCUCUCUUCUCUAGCCACUUGGCAUUCUUGUGCUAACUUCUAAUCAAGUUUGGUGGCAUUAAGUUUCAAGUUUUACAGGAUCACCUAUUCACCACCCCCCCUCUAGGUGCUCUCAAUUGGUAUCAGAGCCGUUCUCUUCAAGAAAGAGACUAAUCGCCCGAAGAGAUGGAUCCUAAGGGAAAGGGGAUUGUGAUCAAUGACCAGGAAAAGAAGAGUGGAAAGUGGGAAAAGAAGAAGAACUACAAGAAGGCGAAGGGCGAGCAUAUCUUGGAAAGGAGUGGGAUUCGGAUUGCUCCUCGUCCGACUCCGACAACGAAGGACUCGCCGCCACCGCCUUCAACAAGUCAUCCCUCUUCCCCAAUGAGCAUCACACUUGCCUCAUGGCAAGGGAAAAGAAGGUAAGCACUCGUAAUACUAGUACUUAUGCUUCUUCAAGUGAGGAUGAGUCUAGUGAUGAUGAUGAAAUAGACUAUUCAUGCUUAUUCAAGGGCUUAGAUAGAACUAAGAUUGAUAAGAUUAAUGAAUUGAUUGAUGCUUUGAAUGAUAAAAAUAGAUUAUUAGAAAAACAAUAGGACCUUUUAUAUGAAGAGCAUGAUAAAUUUGUUAGUGCACAAAAUUCUCUUGCUCUAGAAGUUAAAAGGAAUGAAAUGCUCUCUUGUGAACUAUCUACUUGUCAUGAAACCAUUUCUACUUUAAAGAGUGUGAAUGAUGAUUUAAAUGCUAAACUAGAAGUAGCAAGUAAAUCUAACUCUUGUAUAGAACAUGUUAUGAUUUGCAAUAGGUGCAAGGAUUUUAAUGUUGACGCUUGUAGUGAACACCUAGUUUGCAUUUCUAAAUUAAAUGAUGAAGUAGCUAGUCUUAAUGCCCAACUUAAGACUAGCAAGAGUGAAUUUGACAAGCUAAAAUUUGCAAGAGAUGCCUACACGAUUGGUAGACAUCCCUCAAUUAAGGAUGGUCUUGGCUUCAAGAGGGAAGUCAAGAACUUAACAAGCCAUAAGGCUUCCAUCUCCGCCAAGGAGAAAGGGAAGGCCCCUAUGGCUAGUAGUGCUCAAAAGAACCAUGCCUUUAUGUAUCAUGAUAGGAGACAUUCUAGAAAUGUGUAUAGAAGUUAUGAUGCUUUUGAUUCUCAUGCUAUGGUUGCUUCUAGUUCUUCUAUUAUGCAUGAUAGAAAUUUAGCUAGGAGAAAUGCUAUUAAUCACAUGCCUAGAAGAAAUGUUGUUCAUAUGCCUAGGAAAACAAAUAGUGAACCUUCUACAAUUUAUCAUGCUUUAAAUACUUCCUUUGCUAUUUGUAGAAAGGAUAAGAAGGUAGUUGCUAGAAAAUUAGGGGCAAAAUGCAAGGGAGAUAAAACUUGCAUUUGGGUCCCUAAAUCUAUUUGUACUAACCUUGUAGGACCCAACAUGAGUUGGGUACCUAAGACCCAAGCCUAAAUUUGCCUUGCAGGUUGAUGCAUCCGGGGGAUCAAGCUGGAUUAUCGACAGCAGAUGCACAAACCACAUGACGGAGGAAAAGAGGAUGUUCUCUUCCUACGUCAAGAACAAGGAUCCCCAAGAUUCAAUCAUUUUCGGUGACGGGAAUCAAGGAAAGGUUAAAGGCUUAGGCAAGAUUGCAAUCUCAAAUGAGCACUCUAUUUCUAAUGUAUUCUUAGUUGAGUCACUUGGAUAUAAUUUGCUAUCCGUAAGUCAAUUAUGUAAUAUGGGAUAUAAUUGUCUAUUCACUAAUGUAGAUGUGUCUGUCUUUAGAAGAAGUGAUGGUUCAUUAGCUUUUAAGGGUGUAUUAGACGGCAAACUCUAUUUAGUUGAUUUUGCAAAAGAGGAGGCCGGUCUAGAUGCAUGCUUAAUUGCUAAGACUAGCAUGGGCUGGCUGUGACAUCGCCGCUUAGCACAUGUGGGGAUGAAGAACCUUCACAAACUUCUAAAGGGAGAACACGUGAUAGGUCUAACUAAUGUUACUUUCGAAAAAGAUAGACCUUGUGCAGCUUGUCAAGCAGGGAAACAGGUGGGAAGCUCUCAUCACGCCAAAAAUGUGAUGACAACAUCAAGACCCCUGGAGUUACUUCAUAUGGACCUCUUCGGACCCGUCGCCUAUCUAAGCAUAGGAGGAAGUAAGUAUGGUCUUGUUAUAGUUGAUGAUUUUUCCCGCUUCACUUGGGUAUUCUUUUUGCAGGUUAAAUCUGAAACCCAAGGAACCCUCAAGCGCUUCCUAAGGAGAGCUCAAAACGAGUUUGAGCUCAAGGUGAAGAAGAUAAGGAACGACAAUGGGUCCGAAUUCAAGAACCUUCAAGUGGAGGAGUAUCUUGAGGAGGAAGGAAUCAAGCACGAGUUCUCCGCUCCCUACACACCACAGCAAAAUGGUGUGGUAGAGAGGAAGAACAGGAUGCUUAUAGACAUGGCAAGGACGAUGCUUGGAGAGUUCAAGACCCCCGAGCGCUUUUGGUCAGAAGCCGUGAACAUGGCUUGCCACGCCAUCAACCGGGUCUACCUUCAUCGCCUCCUCAAGAAGACUUCAUAUGAGCUUCUAACCGGUAACAAACCCAAUGUAUCUUACUUUCGUAUAUUUGGGAGCAAGUGUUAUAUUCUAGUAAAGAAGGGUAGAAAUUCUAAGUUUGCUCCCAAAGCUGUAGAAGGGUUUUUGUUAGGUUAUGACUCAAAUACAAAGGCGUAUAGGGUCUUCAACAAAUCAUCGGGUUUGGUUGAAGUCUCUAGCGACGUUGUAUUUGAUGAGACUAAUGGCUCUCCAAGAGAGCAAGUUGUUGAUCUUGAUGAUGUAGAUGAAGAAGACAUUCCAACGGCCGCAAUGCGCACCAUGGCGAUUGGAGAUGUGAGGUCACUGGAACAAAAGGAGCAAGAUCAACCUCCUUCCUCAACAAUGGUGCAUCCCUCAACUCAAGACGAUGAACAGGUUCAUCAAGAGGAGGCGUGUGAUCAAGGGGGAGCACAAGAUGUUCAUGUGAUAGAGGAAGAAGUGCAACCGGCACCUCCAACCCAAGUUCGAGCGAUGAUUCAAAGGGAUCAUCCCGUCGACCAGAUUUUGGGUGACAUUAGCAAGGGAGUUACUACUCGUUCUAGAUUAGUUAAUUUUUGUGAGCAUUACUCCUUUGUCUCUUCUAUUGAGCCUUUCAGGGUAGAGGAGGCCUUGCUAGAUCCGGACUGGGUGUUGGCCAUGCAGGAGGAGCUCAACAACUUCAAAAGAAAUGAAGUUUGGACACUGGUGCCUCGUCCCAAGCAAAAUGUUGUGGGAACCAAGUGGGUGUUCCGCAACAAACAAGACGAGCACGGGGUGGUGACAAGGAACAAGGCUCGACUUGUGGCAAAAGGUUAUGCCCAAGUCGUAGGUUUGGACUUUGAGGAGACUUUUGCUCCUGUGGCUAGGCUAGAAUCUAUUCGUAUUUUGCUAGCAUAUGCCGCUCACCAUUCUUUCAGAUUGUUCCAAAUGGAUGUGAAGAGUGCUUUCCUCAACGGGCCAAUCAAGGAGGAAGUGUACGUGGAGCAACCCCCUGGCUUCGAGGAUGAACGGUACCCUGACCACGUGUGUAAGCUCUCUAAGGCGCUCUAUGGACUUAAGCAAGCCCCAAGAGCAUGGUAUGAAUGCCUUAGAGACUUUUUAAUUGCUAAUGCUUUUAAGGUUGGGAAAGCCGAUCCAACUCUAUUCACUAAGACUUGUGAUGGUGAUCUUUUUGUGUGCCAAAUUUAUGUUGAUGACAUAAUAUUUGGUUCUACUAACCAAAAGUCUUGUGAAGAGUUUAGCAGGGUGAUGACUCAAAAGUUUGAGAUGUCGAUGAUGGGCGAGUUAAGCUAUUUCCUUGGGUUCCAAGUGAGGCAACUCAAGGAUGGGACCUUCAUCUCCCAAACGAAGUACACGCAAGACUUGAUCAAGCGGUUUGGGAUGAAGGAUGCCAAGCCCGCAAAGACUCCAAUGGGAACCGACGGACACACCGAUCUCAACAAAGGAGGUAAGUCCGUUGAUCAAAAGGCAUACCGGUCUAUGAUAGGGUCUUUACUUUAUUUAUGUGCAAGUAGACCGGAUAUUAUGCUUAGCAUAUGCAUGUGUGCUAGAUUUCAAUCUGAUCCAAGGGAAUGUCACUUAGUGGCUGUGAAGCGAAUUCUUAGAUGUUUAGUCGCUACGCCUUGCUUCGGGAUCUGGUAUCCAAAGGGGUCUACCUUUGACUUGAUUGGAUACUCAGACUCCGAUUAUGCUGGAUGUAAGGUCGAUAGGAAGAGUACAUCGGGGACGUGCCAAUUCUUAGGAAGGUCCUUGGUGUCAUGGAGUUCUAAGAAACAAACUUUCGUUGCCCUAUCCACCGCUGAGGCCGAGUACGUUGCCGCAGGACAGUGUUGCGCGCAACUACUUUGAAUGAGGAAAACCCUCAGGGACUUUGGCUACAAUCUGAGCAAAGUCCCACUCCUAUGUGAUAAUGAGAGUGCUAUCCGCAUGGCGGAUAAUCCUGUUGAACACAGCCGCACAAAGCAUGUAGACAUCCGGCAUCACUUUUUGAGAGACCACCAGCAAAAGGGAGAUAUCGAAGUGUUUCAUGUUAGCUCCGAGAACCAGCUAGCCGAUAUCUUUACUAAGCCUUUAGAUGAGCAGACCUUUUGCAAGUUACGUAGUGAGCUAAAUGUCUUAGAUUCGCGGAACCUGGAUUGAUUUAUAGCAUACAUGUGUUUAUGCCUUUGAUCAUGUUCCUUAUGCAUUUUGUUGCUUAUUUAUGGUGCUCAAGUUGUACAAACACUCCCCGGACCUCACAAGUCCUUUUGCAAGUGAUGCACAUAUUUAGGGGGAGAUGUGUUACAACUUGACCCAUUGAGACUAACCGUAUGCUUGAGUUUGCCUGAUCUAGUCUCAAGGGUGGAUUGAAAGGGAAAGGUGGACUUGGACCAUGCAAGACUUCCACUGCACUCCGAUGAGAGGGUAACUUACUCCAAGUUCAUCUCUAUGAUCUUAUUGCCCUUGUACUCUUAAUUGAAGAUUUUGGUGAGGCAAUGAGGUUCAAGGGCCAAGAUUGAUCCCGUUUUGGUGCUUGAUGCCAAAGGGGGAGAAAAUAAGGCCAAAGCAAUAAAUGGAUCAGCUACCACUUGAGAAAUCUUGAAAAUAGUAGAAUAGAGCUUUUUGAUUUGUCAAAACUCUUGUUGUCUCUUUUGUCAAAAGUUGGCCUCUAGUGGGGAGAAUGGUUGAUUAUGGGAAAAAGGGGGAGUUUUUGAAAUCUUUGAUCAAUUUCUAUUGGAACAACUCUCUUUAUGUCUCUACAAGUGUGUUUGACUUAGAGAUAGGAAUUUGAGGUUGAUUUGCAAAAACAAAACCAAGUGGUGGCAAAGAAUGAUCCAAAUAUGCCAAAUUUGAAUCAAAACAAUUUUGAGUUCUCAUUUGUAUUGAUGUUGCACUUCUUUUAGUUGCUUUUUAUUGUGUUGGCAUAAAUCACCAAAAAGGGGGAGAUUGAAAGGGAAAUGUGCCCUUGGGCCAUUUCUAAGUAUUUUGGUGAUUGAGUGCCAACACAAGUGCUUAAGUGUUAAUCUAUGCAAAGUGGUGGACAAAGUGCAAAUCAAGUCAAAAGGUAUGUUUCUAGACUUAGUACAUUGUUUUAUGGACUAAUGUAUUGUGUCUAAGUGCUGGAAACAGGAGAAAUCAAACUGGAAAAGAGAUGGCUUUAUUCAGCCAAAGUCUGCUCAGUCUGGGUGCACCAGACAGUGUCCGGUGCGCCAGGCUGGCUCUGGCGAACUCGCUGCUCUCGGGACUUCAUCGGCGGCGUACGGCUAAAAUUCACCGGACUGUCCGGUGGUGCACCGGACUGUCCGGUGAGCCAACAGUCGGUCGGGCCAAUGGUCGGCCGCGGAAUCCGCGCGCGACGCGUGGCAAGAGCCAACGGUCGGGAGGGGCACCGGACUGUCCGGUGUGCACCGGACAUUGUCCGGUGCGCCAACGGCUAGGAAUCUGCAACGGUCGGCUUCGCCAAAUAAGGAAGGAGAUCCGCACCGGACAGUGUCCGGUGGUGCACCAGACUGUCCGGUGCGCCAAGCGACAGAAGGCAAGAAUUGCCUUCCUGGAUUGCUCCUAACGACUCCUAGCUGCCUUGGGGCUAUAAAAGGGACCCCUAGGCGCAUGGAGGAGAACACCAAGCAUUCUCUAAGCAUUCCUAAGCACCAAGACUUUGAUUCCGCGCAUUUGAUUCUUUGUGAUAGCAAUUAGAGCUCUAUUUGAGUUGUGAACUCGUCGAGUUGUGUUGUGAGCUCUUGUUGCGACUUGUGUGCGUGGUGUCGCUCUGAUUUCGUGUCUUGUGUGCGUUGCUCAUCCCUCCCUUACUCCAUGCUUCUUUGUGAACUUCAAAAUGUAAGGGCGAGAGGCUCCAAGUUGUGGAGAUACCUCGCAAGCGGGAUAUAGUUGAGUGAAAGCAAAACACCGUGGUAUUCAAGUAGGUCUUUGGACCACUUGAAUGGGGUUGAUUGCAACCCUCGUCCGUUGGGACGCCACAACGUGGAGUAGGCAAGUGUUGGACUUGGCUGAACCACGGGAUAAACCACUGUGCCAUCUAUGUGUUGAUCUCUUUGUGGUUAUCGUGUUGUGCAAGCUCUCUUCUCUAGCCACUUGGCAUUCUUGUGCUAACUUCUAAUCAAGUUUUGUGGCAUUAAGUUUCAAGUUUUACAGGAUCACCUAUUCACCCCCCCUCUAGGUGCUCUCAGACCUCAAAUCCAUCAGGCGCCGAGGGGAUGAGACUCUCCGAUCAUACCUCAAAAGAUUUCAGACCAUGAGAAAUCGAAUCCCCGAGGUUGCGGAAGCAGCGGUGAUCGAGGACUUCUACUGGGGAUCUAAUGACUCGGCCUUCGUCCGAGCCAUACUGCAAAAGGUGCCGACUACCUUCGAGCAGCUAUUCAGGGAAGCGGACCUCUACAUCACUACCAACAAACGGGCUCAGAACCUCAUCGGGGGAACGAAACCUACACCGCUGGCACCACGACGCGACGCGAACCAACAACCCGACAAGCGUUGGGAGAAGAGGCCUCGCGAAAAAGUCCACGCCGCCGGACCACCCGUCUCUCGUGCCCGAGGGGCACCCUGCGGAGGCGAACGAACAUUGGACGACAUCCUCGACGCCCAGUGUCUGUACCACAAGGACAUGCACCACACCAUCCGGAACUACAGAGAUUUCAAGCACUCCGUCAGAAACGGUCGACCCUUCCAACCUCUUGUAACACCCCAGGUGUUACUCAGGGAGUCCACCCAGGACUACCCCUUUUAACCUAUUAUCACAUGAGGAUUGAAUUGGGCAAAGUACAUCAAACUUGGAAUUCAAGGUCCUAAUCAAGUGCAAACCAUCUUGGAUAUCAUGCCCUAGCUUGUCAUGCACAUCUAAGUGGGGAAUUUCCCAAAACCCUAAAGCAAACCCCUCUUGGGCAAUAGGAACCCUAAUUGAAGCUAGGAUCAAAAGGUCAUGUAAACCUUAUGAUCAUGGCUUGGGCGAAAUAUAAAAGUUGUAGUAUGCUUCAUAGCCUACAAAUAAUAGUAAGGAAGUACCCCCAAAAAGAUUUCAGAAAAGCCCCAAAAAGUUCACCAAAGGUUGAGCACAAGGGAAAAAUUCAGAAUUUGCCUAAGUAUAAAAACUAACCCUUGAACAAAGAUUCCACAUGUUCACCUUAAUCCAAAAUUCAAAACACUUCGACCCAAUUGACAAAGUGGCGCCAAAUUAACCCUAGAAUGCCCUGGAAGGAGGUGACACCUACCCUAGGGCGUUUGACACGACUUGACACCAUUUUUGUCUUGGUUUGGACCUGUCCUGACACAGCCGACUUCCCACCCUCAUAUCUCUCUAACCCGACCACAUCUACUCUUGGAACUCACAUGAACUAGGUAGCUCUAGGUGCAAGGAAGAGAUCUCCCACAGGCGAUAGGGUAAGAUUCGUAUGUUUUGGCCGCUCAGCAGAGGGAAGAACACGGGCAGAAGCAACGAGCCACGUGUUCGACGCGCUCUGAGCUCGCCAGAGCACGCCCGCGCGCGCCCCCGCGUGCCCCGCGUCGCGCCAACGGCCAGCUGGCGCCCUGUCCCGCGCCCGCGCCUAUAAAGCCCGCCCGAGCAUCGACUGCACUCUUCCGCACACCCUCAAGCCUCACCGGAGCUCAGUUCACGACCGUUUGCCCGUGCACGGCGUGUCCGCGGCCACCCGAGCCACUGCCGCCGUAGACCGGCCAGUCCAGCUUUCCCCAGCCCCAUCCAACCCUCUGAAACGAGUAAACAUACCUCGGUGAAGCUCCCCGAGCGAGGAAUCGAAGCCUGCUUCGCUGGAGAGGCCAGUCCACGGUCGCCGGAGUUCUCAACCUCGCCGGAGUACGUGGACCGGGUAAUCCACUCAACCUUUUUCCGAUUCCUUGUGCACACGGUCACUACGUCACCCCAGCAAGCUCACCGUGCCCUUGGAUUGAACCAGAUCGCCGUGGUUUGGCUGGUACACUCGCCGCCGACGAGAACACCCGCCUGCGCACGUGGACCGAGCGAUUCCGGCCAUCCCCGCCGUCGAGCCCCACCUCGCUGUGACCGCCAGAGCCUCCCCGAGCCAACCCUGCCCUUCGCCGGACCUAUCUCGCCGACGGUAAGCCGCGCCACCCUUUUCUUUCCCGCGGGUACUGUUUACAUUGGGGGAAGGACUGCGAGUGAGAGGGAGAGAAGGUCAGGGGGCUUUUUGAACUGUCAGCGACUCAGGGGAAUAGUGGCGCAGGGGUAGAUUUGUGCGGGUUGAUUUAGUUUAAACCCAGGGACCUCGGUGUAAACUGUUUUUCCAGGAAACUCUUAUUAAAUCUAUUUUUAAAUUGAACAGAAACUUUAAAAAAUCAUAACUUCUGUUUAGUUCAUCCAAAUUUGGUCAAACCAAUUUUGUCAGACUCUAAAUAAUGUAACCUAUUUAAGAAAAAUAUAAAACCCCCUAUGUACUAUAGAAAACUUUAAAGCUCUGAUUUAAUUAUAGUUUGGCCAAAAGCUCAAUAAUAGAAAGAAAAAUAGUUGUACUAUUUGACUAGGGCUAGAAAAAUUUGGGGAAGUUUGUAUCUACCUACUAACCUGUUUAAAAAUGUUAAACCUCUCUGUCCACUCCAUUAAGCUAGUUUUUACCCCUUAUUCUCUAAUAUGCUUAAGGUUAAGAAAAAUAGAAAACAUAAUUUAAAUAAUGAACCAGGGGCACCCCUAUUUUUAUUAGGAUACUUAUUCAAUGUAGUUCACUGGAAAAAUCUAUCAUACCCUGUUUUAGUAUAAAAUGAGUAGGAUACCUUUUAUUUUAAAAAAAUAAGGGAAACUUAGAAAAAACCCUAUAAAAAUAACCCCAAGGUGAAAACACCCCCACCCUUGGGAUAGUUAAUGUUUUGUUAUUAAGAACUUAGGAAAAAUAUGAAAUCUGCUGUUUGACAUUUUUCAAAUAACAAUGAAGUAGAAAGUGCCUUUUUGACAUUAAACUUUAGAAAAUCAUAACUAAAUAACCACCCCUUAGCUUUCUGUGAUUUUUGGCACAGAAGCCUAUUAUUACUGUUAGAUGCUAGCAAAAAUAACCUUUAGGACAGAACCCACCCUAAUUAGGAGAUGUAGUGUAAGUGGCUCAUUUUACACAACUCUUGUUAUUUUUGUCUAAAGCAAAACCUUCACAUGUAGAGCCUCAAAUUCUUAAAACAGACUAGAAUAGCAAUUGGAAACCCACUGUAAUUUUUACAAAAUUUUUGGAGAAAGUUAAACUACUGUUGUAGUUCAAACCCCCACUAGAAUUCAUAAAUAGAAAUUAAAGAAAGGAAAAUGAAUAAUGGAGAUUAGUGUCAUCCUAGAACUCUUGUAAAUUGUCUACUGAAAUACGUAAAGACAAUACAAAUCCACUAUGUUUUUUCUCAAUAAAAACCUAAGCCUAAAGAGUAAUAAGCCUAACCCACUGAAAGCCCCGAAUAACUAAGAAACCCUAAGUUACUUCUUGACUUAGCUUAUUUUUAGCAUAAUGUUAUUAAAUCCUGCAUAAUCAUGACAUACAUGUUCAUUGCAUUUCGAUAGACUGUAACCUUGCUGACGGAGAGUACGUCCUCGUGCCGGAGCAAGGAGCUGCUCAGGAGGUAGCCCCAGAUCCAGCACCAGAGCCUGCACCAGAGGACCUGCCUGCCACUGCUUUGGAAGGCAAGCCCCGGUUUAUGCAUAACCUGUUAUUUAUGCUAUUUUACUUCACUUAAUGAUUGUAGGAUUGAUUGUGCACUUAGGUGUAGGAAUUGUUUGAAACCCUAGUUGCAUGAUCUCAGGAAUCCUUUUGAGAUGGAUACUAGUAUAAUAGGUCGAGUAGUUGCUUUAUUUAAUUAGGAUCUCGGUAGAAGACGAGUGAUUUUUCUAGCACUCGCGCGAGAUCAGGUAAUUGGUUGUAUCCACUUUCUUCUCAUAAUGAUGCUGGUUGUGGACAACAAUCCAUGGGGAUUGGUUGUUUACGAGAUGGGAAAAUGGAAUAAGGACUAACGUGCGGAUACCUGUGUCAAGCGUUUGAACGUACUAAACACAUGCCGAGAAAUAUGGUAAAUCGUAAGCCUAGUACCUGAUUGAACCUGGCAGUGAACUUUACCCCUCACGCGACCUGAGACGUGGUCUCCCAUUCCGGUUAUGGUGGGUACAAGUGCGGUCACUGCACGACGGCAGUCGGGGUCAGUGAGGCAUUGUACGCCAAGGCGGUGAGCCCUGAUCUGCUGACGGGGAAUCGAUGGGGACGGUUGAUAUGUGUGGGGACGGAGUGCCCUUACAUGUCGUGUGUUUAGGUUUACCUUGCAAGGAUAAAAACUCGAUUCGAAUCGUCUGCUUCUCGCAGCUAAUGAGACUGCUUGAUCCAUUGUACUGCAUUGAGUAACAAGUGGAAAUAUGAUGAGUUGAUAUAAGAUGUUGAUUGCUAAAAAUGUUUGCUACUAUGUAUGAGUAGAUAGUACACAUUUAGCCUUAAGAGAGUCACACUUAAAUUGACAAAGUUAAAACUUGACUUAGAAACUCAGCUAGUGCUUUUGGCAACCAAACCCCACAGCCAAACAGCUGCAUGUCUAGAGGUAGAGGAGUAGACUCCUCACACCGGGUAAGUCUAGCUGAGUAUUAGUAUACUCAGCCUUGCUUGUGGCAUAAUUUUACAGGUUCCUUGGAGGACAUGGUUGCUGGAGUGACUUGGCCAUCCAUCUUGCCACCGGGUUGGACUGUCGAGUGGGACCCCGCCUCGGCUGAGGAGGAGCAUGAGGAGUGAUGGGACAGGCUUCCCCAUCUCUCUGUUUAAUUACCGUUAGUUUUAUUCCGCUGCACUUCGAACAAUGAUGACUCCUUUUGCAAAACUCCGAUGAUGAUGUAAUAAUUUAAUACUCUUUAAUGCAUGGUUUUAUGCUUUAUUGUAUUUGCUCUGUGACUCACCAUCGAGUGAGAUUGUGGUACUUGAUCCUGUCAGUGGCCGUGUCGGACUAGAUCCGAGGGAUUGACGGGUUAUUCCCAUUUAAGUGUGGUCCAGCCUCUAAGGCGGGACUUAGGCACUUAAGUUGGAAUAAUUCGGGCAGUUCCGCCACAGCUGGUAUCGGAGCUUGUACCACCACAGAGGAAUCAAUAAAAUGUAAAUACCAUCAUUUUCCCAAAAUAAAAUUUGAUAGAAACAAUGUUGGAUAGAUAGGAGAACGAGCAGGAUAGACCUAGGACGUGUAGCCUUAGGGUAAUAGAAGGGUAGCUAGGUGGCUAAGUAAUUAGGCCCUACAGGCCACUUUUACAGGAUGGGAGUUCUUCCCUAUUCCUUUUAUCUUGUUGUGAGGUCGUUCAGAACGAGCAUGCAUGCAUUCUUAAUUAAGCAAAUGGAUAACUGAGUAAGGACUUAAAAACAAGAUAACAACCAACUAGGUCCCCAGUGCCUUUUUAUUUAACUAGAGAAAGGCUGAGUUUUAUUUUUCUUGUUCUUUUUAUAAUUCUUUUUCUUUUACUUACGCUUAACCGUACAAAGAUGACUUCCCACGGAUCCUCAGAGGACGGAAAUGCACUAUCCCACACUGACGGGCUUGCACGAGAGGGCUUUCCCCGCAUUUUGUGGGAGGUACUUCAGGGGGGCGGAUACGACACCCCCUUAGUACGUGGUGCAGCAGUUCGAGAAGCACCGAGUGCCCCGCUGUAGGGUGAGGAUGACCUUAGAGCCUCAUCCUCUACAGCCAGGCUGGCGCUCAUUGGACUCCGAGUCUUUUGGAUACCGAGCGGAGGACACGAUCGAGGCGAUCGCUCUGCAUGGAUUGACCACUUUCUGCGGAUUCCAUCCUUUGGAGCUGGCUACCCACCCCAUUGGCUUGUUCCCCGCCGAAAGGGAGGACGACCCAAUGUGGAAGGAUAGGGUGGAGCAUGCCAAGGAUAUCUGGGCCAUCUACCCAGGACAGACGGCGCACUUGACCGUACGGUGCAUGAAUGCUCUGUACCGUCUGCAAGUGAUGUGCGGUGAGGCGAUGUCCCAUCUGAUGGCACUAUUGGAGGCGACAAAGAUUACGUUGGACAACAGGGAGGAGCUUGUGGUUGAUUUGUCUACUGAAAUGGUGGAGAAGGACUUGCAGGUGGAGCAGCUAUCCACUGAUAUCCAAGAGUUGGAGGAACUAGUGGGCACCAGGGAGAACACCAUCGAGGUUCUCAAGGAUCAGCUCAUUAACACCUAGCAGCAGCUUGCCGAGGCCAAUGAGCACCUGGAUAUGCAUCACCAGGAGAUCCAGGACAUGGAGGCCAACGAGGACGUCGACAUCGAGGGAGGAGAUGAGCCUGCCUCUAGUGUGGACACUGCUGGCUCAGGGAGACCACCUUCCCCCGAGUCGAGUGUUGCCUCGUUCGCUCACUAGAUGUCCAGGGUAGAGUUAGACGUUGGUGAUGGUAGGACUCCUCGCAGCUAGCUUAGAUGUUGCACCCUUGGGGUACUAGGCUAGAUAGAGUUGAGUCUUUUUGGGACAAAUGAUGUAACCGUAAUAACUCUCUUAGAAACAUGUUCGGUGGACGCUGUUAUCAGUUUUAAAUUCGGAAGGAAAAUUUUAUGCCAGUUUAAAUCCUUUUGUUGAAAUUGGAGUCUAUCAUUUUGCUUUUGGGCUCUUUUCGCCGCGAUUAAAGCUUGAACUUGGAGAUAUGGUGUUAAGUAUGUAUGUGGUUUUUCAGAUGGCCGGGAGGCAGCAUCGUGGCCAGAAUGAGCGCGUUCCUCCACCGCCGCCACCGCCUCCCACUCUGCAGGAGCUGAUGGCUCAGCAGAAUGAGAUCUUGAGGCAGCUAGCUCAGCGUCAGCCACCACCUCAGCAUUAUGGUGGUGGAGACCAUCAGCGUCACCCCGCGGCAGCUACCUACUAGGAGUUCCUCAGUACCCAGCCCCCAUUGUUCACGAGGGCAGAGGACCCACUUGAUGCAGAUGUGUGGUUGCGAGUGGUGGAAUCCAAAUUCCCGCUACUCCAUGGGGCUUGUUCAGAGGCCACUAAAGUCAGGUUCGCCACCCAGCAGCUUCGCGGACCCGCAAGGACUUGGUGGGACCAUUUUCUUGCCAUGCAGCCAGAGGAUCGAGAGGUGGAAUGGAGGGAGUUCAAGGCAGCUUUCAGGGGACACCACAUACCAGCCGGGAUUAUGGACCGAAAGCUCAACGAGUUUCUGGCACUCACUCAGGGCAACAAGAUAGUGUUGCAGUAUGCCCAGGCUUUUAAUGACUUGUGCCAGUAUGCUAGAUAUCACGCAGACACGGAUGAGAAGAAGAGAGACAGGUUCAGGAGGGGGCUCAGCACUAAGCUCCGUGAUCGUCUCAACACCGUCAGGGCCAAUAGUUACAAUGAGUUGGUCAACAUGGCUAUCUCCCAGGAGCACUGCAUUACAGCUCGACAGGCAGAAAAGAAGAGGAAGACCCCUGUGGCAGAACCCUCAGCUCAGCCACAGCGCUUCAGGAUUGUGUCGGACACGCAGAACAGGGGACCCCAGCAGCAGCAAGGGAGAUGGGUGAUCCGACCAUAGCAACAGCAGCCGCAGCAGGUACCCAACCGUACCCAGUUUCCAGCUCAGAGGAACAAUCAGCAGCAGCAGUACCGCCAGGCGAAUGACAACAGGUGUUUCACGUGUGGCAACACCGGACACUAUGCCAAGAAUUGCCCCCGGAACCAGCAGAGGCAGGGGCAGAAUGUCAAUCAGAACCAAGGAAAGAGACAGAAGGUGCAAGUGAGGCAGGGCAGGCUAAACUUUACCACCAUGGCUGAUAUUCCAGAGGGAGCACCUGUCAUGACUGGUAUCUUUACAGUUUUAAAUUAUCCUGCUAUUAUUCUUUUUGAUUCUGGUGCUUCGCAUAGUUUUAUCAGUGCCAAAUUUAGUGCCAAGUGCCAGUUGCCUUUUCACCACACCAAUGGGGGUAUCACAAUUUCAACACUAGGAGGCAGGGUUGCCACCUAUCAAGUCAACAGGCAUGUGCCCAUAAAGUUUGGUAGCCUUGUAAUUAAAACCACCCUCCUCAUUUUAGGGUUGGAUAGCGUGGAUAUUAUAUUGGGAACUGACUGGUUAACCAGGCACCAAGCAGUUAUUGAUAUUGCAGCCAGGGCCAUUGAGGUGCACUCACCAACUUGUGGUGAAACCACACUAUAUCUGCCUGAUCAGGGAUGCACCCGUUCUUGUGCCUUUGUUAUGUUAGAAUCCCCGGUAGAAAAGAUCCUAGUGGUCUGUGACUAUCCGGAUGUGUUUCCAGAUGAAUUGCCAGGGAUGCCACCUGACCGAGAUAUUGAGUUCGCAAUCGAGUUACAACCCGGGACUGCUCCUAUCUCCAAGAGACCCUAUAGGAUGCCUCCCGCGGAAUUGGCAGAAUUGAAAAAGCAGCUGCAAGAGUUGUUGGACAAGGGGUUUAUUCGCCCAAGUACUUCACCAUGGGGAUGUCCAGCAUUAUUUGUGAAGAAAAAGGAUGAAAGUUUGAGAAUGUGUGUUGACUACCGCCCUCUCAAUGCGGUGACUAUCAAGAACAAAUACCCGCUACCCCGCAUUGAUGUUCUGUUUGAUCAGCUAGUAGGAGCCAAGGUAUUCUCCAAGAUAGACCUUCGCUCAGGUUACCAUCAGAUCAAGAUCCGUGCCAGUGACAUUCCCAAGACGGCUUUCUCUACCAGAUAUGGGCUGUAUGAGUUUUUGAUGAUGUCUUUUGGGCUGACCAAUGCCCCGGCUUAUUUUAUGUACCUGAUGAACUCAGUGUUUAUGCCAGAGUUGGAUAAGUUCGUGGUCGUUUUCAUUGAUGAUAUUCUGUUCUAUUCCAAGAAUGAAGAUGAACAUGUUGAGCACCUGCACAUCGUGCUUCAGCGACUGCACGAUCAUCGUCUUUAUGCUAAGUUGUCUAAAUGCGAAUUCUGGCUGAAGGAGAUUAAAUUCUUGGGUCAUACAAUUUCUCAGGAUGGGAUAUCAGUUGAUCCUGAGAAGGUACAAGAGGUGAUGGAUUGGAAACCCCUGACUACAGUGAGGCAUAUUCGAAGUUUUCUGGGUUUGGCAGGGUAUUAUCGACGAUUUAUUCCGGAUUUCUCCAGGAUUGCCAAACCAAUGACUGAACUGUUGAAGAAAGGAGUCAAGUAUGAUUGGAACCAAAAGUGUGAAGAUGCCUUUCAUACUUUGAGGCAGCAUUUGACAACAGCCCCAGUGCUGGCUCAACCUGACAACACCAAGCCCUUUGAAGUUUAUUGUGAUGCUUCUGGUACAGGAUUGGGAUGUGUCCUGAUGCAAGAUAACAGAGUCAUUGCUUAUGCUUCCCGAGCACUGAGGCCCCAUGAGCAGAACUACCCUACACAUGACCUGGAGUUGGCAGCUGUGGUUCAUGCUCUUAAGAUAUGGAGACACUACUUGAUGGGAGCUCACUAUAACAUCUACACUGAUCACAAGAGUCUCAAAUACAUCUUCACUCAGGCAGAUCUGAACAUGAGGCAAAGGAGAUGGUUGGAGUUAAUCAAGGAUUAUGAUUUAGAGGUGCAUUACCAUCCUGGUAAAGCCAAUGUUGUGGCAGAUGCCUUGAGCAGAAAGGCCCACUGCAAUUGUAUGAGCAUGGAUGCAAGAGUCACCACCCUGUGCGAUGAGCUAUGCAAGCUGAACCUGGAAGUUGUUUCUUCAGGUGAUUUGAGUUAUAUCUCGGUGGAACCCACAUUGCAGGAGCAAAUAGUAAGAGCACAGAUUGAGAAUAAGGGUGUUCAAAUGAUUAAGGAAAUGAUCAAGCAAAAGGCAGAGAAAUACAAGUGCUUCCGUCAGGAUAGCAAGGGAAUUUUAUGGUUUGGAGAUCGAUUGGUUGUUCCCAAGGACCCUGAGCUCAGAAAGAAGAUACUAGAUGAAGCUCACCUUUCCAAAUUUUCCAUGCACCCUGGUAGCAACAAGAUGUGCCAUGAUCUUAGAUCUUUAUAUUGGUGGACCAGAAUGAAGAGGGAAAUUGCCAAGUACAUAUCCGAGUGUGACACCUGCCAGAGAAUCAAGGCCAGUCACUUGAAGACAGCGGGUCCUUUGCAACCCCUUCCCAUACCAUCUUGGAAAUGGGAGGACAUUUGCAUGGAUUUUAUCGUAGGAUUGCCCAACACCUCCAGGCACCAUGAUUCCGUUUGGGUUAUUGUGGACAGGUUGACCAAGACCGCUCAUUUCUUGCCAGUGCACACCACCCACAAGACAGAGAAGUAUGCAGAAAUUUAUGUUGAUCAAAUAGUGCGAUUGCAUGGUAUUCCAAAGACCAUCAUAUCUGACAGAGGAGCACUGUUUGUGGCACGCUUUUGGGAGAAGCUGCAAGAAUCCCUUGGGACCCAAGUAAUCCAAAGCUCGGCAUACCACCCUCAAAUAGAUGGCCAGACAGAAAGGGUGAAUCAGGUUCUGGAAGACAUGUUGCGAGCAGGUGCACUACACUACGGGAAGGAUUGGGACAAGUGUCUUUCUUUGGCAGAGUUUUCUUAUAAUAACAGCUAUCAGUCCAGUCUGAAGAUGGCACCUUUUGAAGCUUUAUAUGGGAGAAGGUGUAGGACCCCACUGAAUUAGUCUCAAGCAGGAGAGAGGGAAAUUUUUGGGCCAGACUUGGUACUUGAGGCAGAGGCAAAGGUCAAGGUUAUUACCAAGAACCUCGAAGUUGCUCAGGCCAGGCAAAAGAGCUAUCAUGAUAAGAGGCGGAAGCCUCUACAGUUUGAGGUGGGAGAUCAUGUUUAUCUUAAAGUGUCACCCACCAAGGGUGUCCAGAGAUUCGGGAUCAAGGGCAAGUUAGCUCCUCGCUACAUUGGACCCUAUGAAAUCAAAGCAGGUUGUGGACCCGUAGCCUAUCAGUUGGAAUUGCCACCUCACAUGUCAGCAGUUCACAAUGUGUUCCAUGUAUCUCAGCUGCGGAAAUGUGUUCGUCUACCCACUGAAGUGCUACCGGAACCAGACAUUGAGAUAGAACCAGACUUGUCCUACCAAGAGUACCCCGUCAACGUAUUGGAUUAGAAGGAGAGAUCAACUCGGGCAAGAUCAGUCAGAAUGUAUAAAGUUCAGUGGAGUCACCAUUCAGCAGAAGAAGCUACAUGGGAGACUGAGGAUUUUCUACGCUCUCGCUUCCCCGACUUUCUGCCCAAAGGAGUCGGUACGUAACCCCAGAACCCCACCCCCACCUGCCCUUUGAAUUCAAUUAUAAGAAAAACUUAGAUAACAAGGAUAGUCUAAGUUGUGGAUUUAACUUAAAAAGGGCUUCCUUCUGAAGUUGCAAAGAGAAUGACAUUCGAAGAGCAGUUAACGAGAGAAAUUGGAGUAUAAGGAAGAGUAACACACCAUUAUACCUUAGUAGCACCCCUCUAGAGGACUCUGCCUAAAAUCUAGGGACGAGAUUCCUUUAAGGGGGGAGGGCUGUAACACCCCAGGUGUUACUCAGGGAGUCCACCCAGGACUACCCCUUUUAACCUAUUAUCACAUGAGGAUUGAAUUGGGCAAAGUACAUCAAACAUGGAAUUCAAGGUCCUAAUCAAGUGCAAACCAUCUUGGAUAUCAUGCCCUAGCUUGUCAUGCACAUCUAAGUGGGGAAUUUCCCAAAACCCUAAAGCAAACCCCUCUUGGGCAAUAGGAACCCUAAUUGAAGCUAGGAUCAAAAGGUCAUGUAAACCUUGUGAUCAUGGCUUGGGCCAAAUAUAAAAGUUGUAGUAUGCUUCAUAACCUACAAAUAAUAGUAAGGAAGUACCCCCAAAAAGAUUUCAGAAAAGCCCCAAAAAGUUCACCAAAGGUUGAGCACAAGGGAAAAAUUCAGAAUUUGCCUAAGUAUAAAAACUAACCCUUGAACAAAGAUUCCACAUGUUCACCUUAAUCCAAAAUUCAAAACACUUCGACCCAAUUGACAAAGUGGCGCCAAAUUAACCCUAGAAUGCCCUGGAAGGAGGUGACACCUACCCUAGGGCGUUUGACACGACUUGACACCAUUUUUGUCUCGGUUUGGACCUGUCUGACACAGCCGACUUCCCACCCUCAUAUCUCUCUAACCUGACCACAUCUACUCUUGGAACUCACAUGAACUAGGUAGCUCUAGGUGCAGGGAAGAGAUCUCCCACAGGCGAUAGGGUAAGAUUCGUACGUUUUGGCCGCUCAACAGAGGGAAGAACACGGGCAGAAGCAACGAGCCACUUGUUCGACGCACUCUGAGCUCGCCAGAGCACGCCCGCGCGCGCCCCCGCGUGCCCCGCGUCGCGCCAACGGCCAGCCGGCGCCCUGUUGUAACACCCACUUUGUAAUUGGUUAGGAAUAAUACCAAUAGAGAAACAAUUUCUCUUCAUAUGAGUUUGAACUUUAUGCAUCAUCACAUGUGAACACUUCACUUAUACAAAUGAAUAAAUAAUAAAAGGCACUCAAACAAAUCAGGCAUCAUGCUGGUAUUUUUAUUUUGCGUGCAUUAUUUAUGACAAAAUAAUAAUAACAAUAAUAAAAGAAAAAUAAUAAUGAGAGGAAAUUUGAAUCCUAAAUUGAGAAUUAGGAUUUGAAGUAUAGAAGGAAAACAUAAAAUGCUAUACAAUACAAAAAAAAAUUAUUUAAUAAAUUUAUAAGUAGAUAAAUUUAUUUCACAAUAAUUUAUUCAAAUUGCAUACUCAGAAAUUGAGUACAAGUUCACCAUAAAUUUGAAGAUCAAAUUGAGACUCAAAAAUAAGAGAGAAAAGAAAUAAAAAAAAGAAAGAAAAUUCCAUGCGCUUGGGCUAGCAUUUGACGGUUUGGCCCAUUCUACUUUCCUCCUCUUCUGCUCGUCAUGGCCCGUGGAGGAUUUGGCGCUGACUGGUGGGGCACUAUCGGCUGUGGCAUGACGCGUUUCCUUCUCCACGCUGGUCAUCCACGCCGACGUCAGGGGCCCAGGUGUCAGCUCGCAACGAAACGCACUCCUGUGUUUACGUAGCGCUUAUGGUCACGGGCCUGUGGACCCAAGGGGGUCAGACCACGUUCCCCUGUGCCAUUGCCGCAACCUUCGCGGGGCUGGUAAACUGCCCUGGCGCCGAAUCAUAACGGAAGGGCUCCUUGGGGUUCGGGCACCACAGGGGUGUCUAUAUAUGCCUAGAUGACGACCUUACCCCAUCACCCAGAGCAAGAAAACCUAGCCGCCAUCACCAGAGAGAGAGAGCUCUGUGGGGCGAGUCUGUGUGCCCGCCGCCGCUGCCACCAAUUGUAGUCGUCGUCGCCUCCCAACCUCCGUUGUGCGGUUCCCAGCGUUCUGCAGAGUCGAUAGAUCGUGUACACGGGCCUAAUCGGGCGCUGAGGCCUGCGGUGCAUCGGAAUUUCUCGCUGGUUCUUCAUCCAGGCCGCCGGGCCGCGGGUCACCGAGGGCAGCGCUGCUGUCACCACCAAGAACGGUACGAUGCACUCCAUUACAUUCCCCAUGCUCUCUGCUUUGUUAUGCAAGCGUCAGAAUCGUGUUCUAGGCAGAAAUCGGGGAGUAAGCUAGUGGCCGUUAAUGGCGCGCCGCCGUGCGGUUGGGCUCUGCCGUGGUUGAGCGCUGGGGGUGGAAGACAACACAGGGGCCCUAGAUUUAACAAUGGACGAUCACGAUUAGAUGGAGAGAAUAGCUAGCGACAGCCGUUGGAUCGUUGUUGGGCGGUUCAGAUUUAAUCGCGUGCUCCCCUUCGCGCGAUCCGUUCCUGACCGUCGAUCUCGAGUUAGUCGGCCGGGAUUUAAUGAUGUGUGGAGCGAGCGAUUGCCGUGGAUUCUAGAUCCAGUGGCUCCAGUUGAAUACCGUUUCGUCUCAAGCCGGUUAGAUCCUGGCCCUAGAAUUCUAAUCGGACGGCCCACGUUAGUCCAUACCCCUUCGCGGUGCCAUUUAGCUAAAGAGUCCCUCCACUUGCCAGAAUUAGAACCCGCCAUCCUCUGGCACUAUGCGCUGGGUCUCUGGAUUCUUACCCCGAGCCCCCUGCGUUUCACAUUAAUUGAGGCCCAGUCCAGUGCUGUUUUAAAAUGAGUAAAUGAAUUAGAAAACGUAUUUUAAUACAAAAAUAAGUGCUAAAUCUUCAAUAAUUCAUAGAAAAUUCAUACUUGCUCCAAACUAAUCUAUUCCACUUUCUAAAAUUUUGUAAUUUUAUUCUCUAACAUCUAGAGCCUCUGUUUUAUCAUGACAACAGUAAGAAAAUUAAUUUCACACUUAAUCUCACUUUAAACACAUAAAACCUUUGAAAAUCCAUAACUUAAAAUCUAUAACUCCAAAAAAUUAUGAUUCCUGUUCCUAGGAUUUUAUUUUAAUAUGUAGAUUAUUACUGUGUAUUUUGUUUACAUGCUUGGUGUAAUGUUAAUUUCCCCUGUAUCCUGUGCUUGUUUGUAUUGUGGCGAGUAGAAGAGCACGUGACUGAGGAUCCUGGUGAGCAGCAGGUUGAAGUAGCUGAGCAGGAGCUCAUUGAAGGCAAGUUGUGCCCUUGACCACUUUUUACCCAAUAAUGUUCUCUAAUUAUCAUUCACUCAUGCAUAGGUUAAUUUUGAUGGGACCCAAUAGGUCACCCUAGAUUGUUUAUCUCAUUACCUUGUUUACCCCUGAAUCACUUGGGUAGUUUGCUAUUGCUAUACAUGGUUUUGGGAUAAUCAUUUAUUAUAUCUAUGUUCCAAUUAUUCUUGUUAUUCUGUUUAUGUUCAUGUUGAGAUCAUUAAUGUUAAUUGGAACAUAGAGCUUAACUUGAGAACCACGUGCCACCACAAGGGUUUAAUGGGACGCCCUUGGCUGACUAAUUAGGAAAGCUAGUGGAAGACUACCUUACCCGAAAGGGGCAAGGGCAGUAGGGGAGUGGUCAGUGUAGGGAGGUCCCUGGUUGAUUUUGCUGCGAUGGCGGUCAGCCAGGAACCCUGCAUUGGAACUUCCUAUAAACUGUAGCGGGUUUUCGGAAGCUAGUGGAACUUUGUAAAGGCCUCGUAGUGUUGCCCUGCCGCGCUUCCUAGGUAGAGGUGUAUGGGAUUCGCGAACCCUUGGCAGAUGGGUAACAUGACUUGUGGGUAAAGGGUACAACCUCUGCAGAGUGUAAAACUGGUAUACUAGCCGAGCUCACGGUCAUGAGCAGCUCAGGACUCUCUGAUGUUUAAAUUAUGGAACUUAAAUUCAAUUUUGUCAUUUGCAUUGCAUGGGUUUAGUAUUAAUUUGUUCUAUUACUUUAUUUAAGGUUUGGUAUUUACUUACAUCUAGUAAUUGCUAAUAAAAGUUUGACCAACAUUAAAAGCAAUGCUCAGCUUUAACCAUUCUCUUUGAUAAGCCUUACACUCCAUGAGCUCCCACCUUUGGUGAGUUCAUGUCACAUUAUUCCCCACAACUUGUUGAGCGAUGAUCAUGUGUGAGCUCACCCUUGCUGUCUCACACCCCCCCACAGGAGAAGAUCAGGUGGUUCAGGAGGAGCCGCCUAACACUGAGGAGUUCGAUCUGAUCUAGGUGGCGUUUCCCAGUUGACAUUGGCGCCGACGAUCCUUAGUUCGUUUUAUCUUUAUUAUUUUAUUUUGUAAUAAGUCUUCCGCUAUGUAAUAAAUACUCUGAUGUUUCAUGACAUUUAUCUCUAUACACUCUGUUAUUAUAUAUGUUGUCUUCUUGGCGCAUGUAUGAGAUGCACCUGGCUUUGUUCCUUAAAGCCGGGUGUGACAGAAGUGGUAUCAGAGGAAAUGUUGACUGUAGGACGAAACCUAGAUAGAAAUGGACAAAACCCUUUCCUACUUACCUUACUCUGACUCAUUCUAUACUCAUCUCAUCUUGAUCUUGUCUCACCUUUUGCUACUCUACUCUGAUUAAUCUUAUCUUUUCUACUCUAAGACAAGAUGGAUUUCACACCUUGGAAUCCUACCAAUAUGAUCUUUUUUUAAGAGAUAGGGAUCCUAAGACAAAAUUUAAAACUAUUUUCUUUAUUUAAAAAAAAUUGAUUGGUUGAUUGUGCUGAUGAUCAAUGCCUGAUUUGCUUCUUUGAUUGAUUGAAAUAGUAUAGACGGGCAUCUUAGCAUGUACCACCAUAAGGUAAUGUAUUAGCGUUAGUAGGUGACACACUAAUCUACUUAGCUAAUAAAUCUCCCGCAGUAACAUUCAUCGUAAUUACUCGCCUUGUCUACAAUUCUUCCUUUCUUACCCUGUAUUUCUAACCCAGAUGGACUACCCCUAUAGUGUUAGAAGAGAGCACUAUAGACAUGAUCCUUGGUAUGUCAUGGUUAAGAAAGGCAAAGGCAGUAUAUACACUGUGCUAAGGGAACUGUAGAACUAACCAGUUCCAAAGGACAAAGAUUUGAAGUUGAAGUAACUACCACCAUCAGACUAGCAGCAUUCCUAGUAGAUGAAAAGUUUGUGGGUGACAACAUCCAUGCAGUUAGGGAUUUUCCGGAUGUCUUUCCAGAGGAGUUAUUAGGGAUGCCACCAGAUAUGGAAGUUGAGUUUGUCAUUAAUCCCUUACCUAAGACUGCCCCUAUUUCUAAACGACCAUACAUGAUGUCCGUAGAAGAGCUAAAUGAACUUAAGAAGCAAUUAAUGGAAUUACAAGAGGCUGGGUACAUUCGUUCGGGUUCCUCACCUUGGGGAGCACCGGUACUAUUUGUACAGAAGAAGGAUGGAUCGCAAAGGAUGUGUGUGGAUUAUAGGUCCCUUAAUGAUGUUAUCGUGAAGAACAAGUGUCCGUUACCCCGCAUUGAGGAUUUAUUUGAUCAGAUGAGAGAUGCAAGGGUAUUCUUGAAGACUGAUCUCCGAUCAGGUUACCAUCAAAUGUAGAUUAGACCAUCGGAUAUUCCCAAGACGACUUUCUCGACUCGAUAUGGAUUAUAUGAGUUUAUUGUUAUGUCGUUUGGAUUAACCAAUGCCCCAGCUUAUUUUAUGAACUUGAUGAAUAAGGUGUUUAUGGAGUAUUUGGACAGAUUCGUCGUGGUAUUCAUCGACGAUAUUCUUAUUUAUUCUCAGAGUGAUAGCGAUCAUGAGGAACAUCUGAGAUUGGUGCUACAGAAGCUACGAAUUAAUCAACUCUACACCAAGUACGGUAAAUGCGAGUUUUGGAUUGGCGAGGUGCCAUUUCUUGGUCAUAUUAUUUCUAAUGGAGGAAUAUCAGUGGAUCCUGCUAAGGUUAAGGAGAUAAUGGAAUGGAGGGUACCCACUACAGUUACUGAGAUUCAGAGUUUCUUGGGACUAGCAGGAUAUUAUCGGAGAUUUAUUGAAGGAUUUUCUGAGAUUGCUAAACCUAUGACUUCACUUUUGGAGAAAGGAAGAGAAUUUAAGUGGGAUGAGAAGUGUCAAGAUAGCUUUGAUCAAUUGAAGAAGAGAUUGAUGUCACCACCAGUAUUGAUUAUGCCAGAUCUGCAGAAGGGAUUUGACAUUUAUUGUGAUGCAUGUGGCCAAGGACUUGGAUGUGUGCUUAUGCAAGAAGGACAUGUGAUUGCCUAUGCUUCUCGUUAGUUACGGAAACAUGAAUUGAACUACCCCACUCAUGACUUGGAAUUGGCAGCCGUUGUGCAUGCACUUAAGAUUUGGAGGCAUUACAUUAUGGGAACCAAGUGUCAAGUAUACACGGAUCAUAAGAGUUUGAAGGAUAUAUUCACUCAGAAGGAUCUCAACCUUAGGCAACACCGUGGGUUGGAGCUUAUUAAGGAUUACGAUUUGGAGAUUCACUGUCACCCAGUCAAGGCAAAUUUGGUUGCAGAUGCCUUGAGUCGCAAGGAGCAUGUUCAUUCAGCUAUUGUUGCCCAGCUACCUGAUGAGAUUGUUGAGGACUUCAGGAGACUUAACCUGGGGAUAGUUGCUCAUAUUGAAGGAGUUACUAUUGAUGUGGAACCUACUUUGGAGCAAGAGAUCCGCAAAGGACAAAUUGGUGAUGCUAAAAUAAAAGAGAUUAAGGAUCUGAUUACUGAAGGUCGAGUUCCGGAAUUCACGGAAGAUGAGCAAGGCACUGUAUGGUUCAAGGACAGAAUGUGUGUUCCUGAUAUUAAAAGCCUUCGAGAGACUAUUUUAAAGGAGGCCCAUGAUUCGGAUUAUUCUAUUCAUCCUGGUAGUACCAAGAUGUAUCAGGAUUUGAAGCGGAAAUAUUGGUGGUAUGGAUUGAAAAGAGAUGUAGCUGCACAUGUGGCUAUGUGCGAUGUAUGUCAAAGAGUCAAGGCUGAACACCAGAGGCCAGCUGGACUAUUGCAUCCACUGAAGAUACCCGAGUGGAAGUGGGAAGAGAUUGGUAUGGAUUUUAUUACUGGAUUGCCUCGCACCCAGAAAGGAUAUGAUGCUAUAUGGGUGAUUGUGGAUAGAUUGACUAAAGUGGCUCACUUUAUUCCUGUCAAGACUACUUAUAAAGGUUCACAGCUAGCAGAGUUAUAUAUGGCUCGGAUUGUGUGUUUACAUGGAGUACCAAAGAAGAUCGUGUCUGAUCGAGGUUCGCAGUUUACCUCACGAUUUUGGAGAAGCUUUCAUGAGAACAUGAGUACGAAGUUGAAUUUCAGUACGGCUUAUCACCCUCAGACUGAUGGACAGACUGAAAGGACUAAUCAAGUAUUGGAAGAUAUGUUGAGAGCUUGUGCCCUUCAGCAUGGAGGAAGUUGGGAUAAAAGUCUACCUUAUGCUGAAUUCUCAUACAAUAAUAGCUAUCAGGCCAGUCUGAAGAUGUCACCUUUUGAGGCUUUGUAUGGGAGGAAGUGCAGAACUCCUUUGUAUUGGGAUCAGACUGGAGAGAGACAGUUCUUUGGUCCUGAACUGAUUCAAGAAGCAGAAGAACAAGUUCGUAUAAUUCGAGAGAAUUUGAGAGUGGCUCAAACCAGGCAAAAGAGCUAUGCUGAUAAUAGAAGGAGACCACUGGAAUUUGAAGAAGGAGAUUAUGUGUAUCUCAAGGUGUCACCACUUCGUGGAAUGAGGAGAUUCAAAGUUAAGGGCAAAUUGUCCCCUCGCUACAUUGGACCAUUCUUGAUCUUUAGGAGAGUUGGGGAGAUGGCAUACCAACUUGAGUUACCGGAUAGUCUAUCGGAUGUGCAUAAUGGGUUUCACGUAUCUCAACUCAAGAAGUGUCUCCGUGUCCCUGAGGAACAGUUACCAAUGGAAGAGCUUAGUGUUCAGGGUGACUUGACUUACACGGAGUACCCGAUCAAGAUUUUGGAUACUUUGACUCGAGUUACAAGAAAUAAGGUGAUAAAGAUGUGCAAAGUCCAAUGGAGUCACCACGGUGAAGAUGAAGCAACUUAGGAAAGAGAAGAAGAGCUUCGUAUAGAUUUUCCCCACCUUUUCCCUAGAUCUUCUUAAUCUCGAGGACGAGAUUAUUUUUAAGGGGGGUAGGAUUUGUAACACCCACUUUGUAAUUGGUUAGGAAUAAUACCAAUAGAGAAACAAUUUCUCUUCAUAUGAGUUUGAACUUUAUGCAUCAUCACAUGUGAACACUUCACUUAUACAAAUGAAUAAAUAAUAAAAGGCACUCAAACAAAUCAGGCAUCAUGCUGGUAUUUUUAUUUUGCGUGCAUUAUUUAUGACAAAAUAAUAAUAACAAUAAUAAAAGAAAAAUAAUAAUGAGAGGAAAUUUGAAUCCUAAAUUGAGAAUUAGGAUUUGAAGUAUAGAAGGAAAACAUAAAAUGCUAUACAAUACAAAAAAAAUUAUUUAAUAAAUUUAUAAGUAGAUAAAUUUAUUUCACAAUAAUUUAUUCAAAUUGCAUACUCAGAAAUUGAUUACAAGUUCACCAUAAAUUUGAAGAUCAAAUUGAGACUCAAAAAUAAGAGAGAAAAGAAAUAAAAAAAAGAAAGAAAAUUCCAUGCGCUUGGGCUAGCAUUUGACGGUUUGGCCCAUUCUACUUUCCUCCUCUUCUGCUCGUCAUGGCCCGUGGAGGAUUUGGCGCUGACUGGUGGGGCACUAUCGGCUGUGGCAUGACGCGUUUCCUUCUCCACGCUGGUCAUCCACGCCGACGUCAGGGGCCCAGGUGUCAGCUCGCAACGAAACGCACUCCUGUGUUUACGUAGCGCUUAUGGUCACGGGCCUGUGGACCCAAGGGGGUCAGACCACGUUCCCCUGCGCCAUUGCCGCAACCUUCGCGGGGCUGGUAAACUGCCCUGGCGCCGAAUCAUAACGGAAGGGCUCCUUGGGGUUCGGGCACCACAGGGGUGUCUAUAUAUGCCUAGAUGACGACCUUACCCCAUCACCCAGAGCAAGAAAACCUAGCCGCCAUCACCAGAGAGAGAGAGCUCCGUGGGGCGAGUCUGUGUGCCCGCCGCCGCUGCCACCAAUUGUAGUCGUCGUCGCCUCCCAACCUCCGUUGUGCGGUUCCCAGCGUUCUGCAGAGUCGAUAGAUCGUGUACACGGGCCUAAUCGGGCGCUGAGGCCUGCGGUGCAUCGGAAUUUCUCGCUGGUUCUUCAUCCAGGCCGCCGGGCCGCGGGUCACCGAGGGCAGCGCUGCUGUCACCACCAAGAACGGUACGAUGCACUCCAUUACAUUCCCCAUGCUCUCUGCUUUGUUAUGCAAGCGUCAGAAUCGUGUUCUAGGCAGAAAUCGGGGAGUAAGCUAGUGGCCGUUAAUGGCGCGCCGCCGUGCGGUUGGGCUCUGCCGUGGUUGAGCGCUGGGGGUGGAAGACAACACAGGGGCCCUAGAUUUAACAAUGGACGAUCACGAUUAGAUGGAGAGAAUAGCUAGCGACAGCCGUUGGAUCGUUGUUGGGCGGUUCAGAUUUAAUCGCGUGCUCCCCUUCGCGCGAUCCGUUCCUGACCGUCGAUCUCGAGUUAGUCGGCCGGGAUUUAAUGAUGUGUGGAGCGAGCGAUUGCCGUGGAUUCUAGAUCCAGUGGCUCCAGUUGAAUACCGUUUCGUCUCAAGCCGGUUAGAUCCUGGCCCUAGAAUUCUAAUCGGACGGCCCACGUUAGUCCAUACCCCUUCGCGGUGCCAUUUAGCUAAAGAGUCCCUCCACUUGCCAGAAUUAGAACCCGCCAUCCUCUGGCACUAUGCGCUGGGUCUCUGGAUUCUUACCCCGAGCCCCCUGCGUUUCACAUUAAUUGAGGCCCAGUCCAGUGCUGUUUUAAAAUGAGUAAAUGAAUUAGAAAACGUAUUUUAAUACAAAAAUAAGUGCUAAAUCUUCAAUAAUUCAUAGAAAAUUCAUACUUGCUCCAAACUAAUCUAUUCCACUUUCUAAAAUUUUGUAAUUUUAUUCUCUAACAUCUAGAGCCUCUGUUUUAUCAUGACAACAGUAAGAAAAUUAAUUUCACACUUAAUCUCACUUUAAACACAUAAAACCUUUGAAAAUCCAUAACUUAAAAUCUAUAACUCCAAAAAAUUAUGAUUCCUGUUCCUAGGAUUUUAUUUUAAUAUGUAGAUUAUUACUGUGUAUUUUGUUUACAUGCUUGGUGUAAUGUUAAUUUCCCCUGUAUCCUGUGCUUGUUUGUAUUGUGGCGAGUAGAAGAGCACGUGACUGAGGAUCCUGGUGAGCAGCAGGUUGAAGUAGCUGAGCAGGAGCUCAUUGAAGGCAAGUUGUGCCCUUGACCACUUUUUACCCAAUAAUGUUCUCUAAUUAUCAUUCACUCAUGCAUAGGUUAAUUUUGAUGGGACCCAAUAGGUCACCCUAGAUUGUUUAUCUCAUUACCUUGUUUACCCCUGAAUCACUUGGGUAGUUUGCUAUUGCUAUACAUGGUUUUGGGAUAAUCAUUUAUUAUAUCUAUGUUCCAAUUAUUCUUGUUAUUCUGUUUAUGUUCAUGUUGAGAUCAUUAAUGUUAAUUGGAACAUAGAGCUUAACUUGAGAACCACGUGCCACCACAAGGGUUUAAUGGGACGCCCUUGGCUGACUAAUUAGGAAAGCUAGUGGAAGACUACCUUACCCGAAAGGGGCAAGGGCAGUAGGGGAGUGGUCAGUGUAGGGAGGUCCCUGGUUGAUUUUGCUGCGAUGGCGGUCAGCCAGGAACCCUGCAUUGGAACUUCCUAUAAACUGUAGCGGGUUUUCGGAAGCUAGUGGAACUUUGUAAAGGCCUCGUAGUGUUGCCCUGCCGCGCUUCCUAGGUAGAGGUGUAUGGGAUUCGCGACCCCUUGGCAGAUGGGUAACAUGACUUGUGGGUAAAGGGUACAACCUCUGCAGAGUGUAAAACUGGUAUACUAGCCGAGCUCACGAUCAUGAGCAGCUCAGGACUCUCUGAUGUUUAAAUUAUGGAACUUAAAUUCAAUUUUGUCAUUUGCAUUGCAUGGGUUUAGUAUUAAUUUGUUCUAUUACUUUAUUUAAGGUUUGGUAUUUACUUACAUCUAGUAAUUGCUAAUAAAAGUUUGACCAACAUUAAAAGCAAUGCUCAGCUUUAACCAUUCUCUUUGAUAAGCCUUACACUCCAUGAGCUCCCACCUUUGGUGAGUUCAUGUCACAUUAUUCCCCACAACUUGUUGAGCGAUGAUCAUGUGUGAGCUCACCCUUGCUGUCUCACACCCCCCCCACAGGAGAAGAUCAGGUGGUUCAGGAGGAGCCGCCUAACACUGAGGAGUUCGAUCUGAUCUAGGUGGCGUUUCCCAGUUGACAUUGGCGCCGACGAUCCUUAGUUCGUUUUAUCUUUAUUAUUUUAUUUUGUAAUAAGUCUUCCGCUAUGUAAUAAAUACUCUGAUGUUUCAUGACAUUUAUCUCUAUACACUCUGUUAUUAUAUAUGUUGUCUUCUUGGCGCAUGUAUGAGAUGCACCUGGCUUUGUUCCUUAAAGCCGGGUGUGACACCUGUCCCGUGCCCGCGCCUAUAAAGCCCGCCCGAGCGUCGACUGCACUCUUCCGCGCACCCUCAAGCCUCACCGGAGCUCAGUUCACCGCCGUUUGCCCGUGCACGGCGUGUCCGCGGCCACUCGAGCCACUGCCGCCGUAGACCGGCCAGUCCAGCUUUCCCCAGCCCCAUCCAACCCUCUGAAACGAGUAAACAUACCUCGGUGAAGCUCCCCGAGCGAGGAAUCGAAGCCUACUUCGCCGGAGAGGCCAGUCCACGGUCGCCGGAGUUCUCAACCCCGCCGGAGUACGUGGACCGGGUAAUCCACUCAACCUUUUUUUCGAUUCCUUGUCCACACUGUCACUACGUCACCCCAGGAAGCUCACCGUGCCCUUGGAUUGAACCAGAUCGUCGUGGUUUGGCCGGUACACUCGCCGCCGACGAGAACACCCGCCUGCGCACGUGGACCGAGCGAUUCCGGCCAUCCCCGCCGUCGAGCCGCACCUCGCUGUGACCGCCAGAGCCUCCCCGAGCCAACCCUGCCCUUCGCCGGACCUAUCUCGCCACCGGUAAGCCGCGCCACCCUUUUCUUUCCCGCGGGUACUGUUUACAUUGGGGGAAGGACUGCGGGUGAGAGGGAGAGAAGGUAAGGGGGCUUUUUGAACUGUCAACGACUCAGGGGAAUAGUGGCGCAGGGGUAGAUUUGUGCGGGUUGAUUUAGUUUAAACCCAGGGACCUCGGUGUAAACUGUUUUUCCAGGAAACUCUUAUUAAAUCUAUUUUUAAAUUGAACAGAAACUUUAAAAAUUCAUAACUUCUGUUUAGUUCAUCCAAAUUUGGUCAAACCAAUUUUGUCAGACUCUAAAUAAUGUAACCUAUUUAAGAAAAAUAUAAAACCCCCUAUGUACUAUAGAAAACUUUAAAGCUCUGAUUUAAUUAUAGUUUGGCCAAAAGCUCAAUAAUAGAAAGAAAAAUAGUUGUACUAUUUGACUAGGGCUAGAAAAAUUUGGGGAAGUUUAUAUCUACCUACUGACCUGUUUAAAAAUGUUAAACCUCUUUGUCCACUCCAUUAAGCUAGUUUUUACCCAUUAUUCUAUAAUAUGCUUAAGGUUAAGAAAAAUAGAAAAUGUAAUUUAAAUAAUGAACCAGGGGGCACCCCUAUUUUUAUUAGGAUACUUAUUCAAUGUAGUUCACUGGAAAAAUCUAUCAUACCCUGUUUUAGUAUAAAAUGAGUAGGAUACCUUUUAUUUUAAUAAAAUAAGGGAAACUUAGAAAAACCCUACAAAAAUAACCCCAAGGUGAAAACACCCCCACCCUUGGGAUAGUUAAUGUUUUGUUAUUAAGAACUUAGGAAAAAUAUGAAAUCUGCUGUUUGACAUUUUUCAAAUAACAAUGAAGUAGAAAGUGUCUUUUUGACAUUAAACUUUAGAAAAUCAUAACUAAAUAACCACCCCUUAGCUUUCUGUGAUUUUUGGCACAGAAGCCUAUUAUUACUGUUAGAUGCUAGCAAAAAUAACCUUUAGGACAGAACACACCCCCAAUUAGGAGAUGUAGUGUAAGUGGCUCAUUUUAUACAACUCUUGUUAUUUUUGUCUAAAGCAAAACCUUCACAUGUAGAGCCUCAAAUUCUUAAAACAGGCUAGAAUAGCAAUUGGAAACCCACUGUAAUUUUUACAAAAUUUUUGGAGAAAGUUAAACUACUGUUGUAGUUCAAACCCCCACUAGAAUUCAUAAAUAGAAAUUAAAGAAAGGAAAAUGAAUAAUGGAGAUUAGUGUCAUCCUAGAACUCUUGUAAAUUGUCUACUGAAAUACGUAAAGACAAUACAAAUCCACUAUGUUUUUCCUCUAUAAAAACCUAAGCCUAAAGAGUAAUAAGCCUAACCCACUGAAAGCCCCGCAUAACUAAGAAACCCUAAGUUACUUCUUGACUUAGUUUAUUUUUAGCAUAAUGUUAUUAAAUCCUGCAUAAUCAUGACAUACAUGUUCAUUGCAUUUCGAUAGACUGUAACCUUGCUGAUGGAGAGUACGUCCUCGUGCCAGAGCAAGGAGCUGCUCAGGAGGUAGCCCCAGAUCCAGCACCAGAGCCUGCACCAGAGGACCUGCCUGCCACUGCUUUGGAAGGCAAGCCCCAGUUUAUGCAUAACCUGUUAUUUAUGCUAUUUUACUUCACUUAAUGAUUGUAGGAUUGAUUGUGCACUUAGGUGUAGGAAUUGUUUGAAACCCUAGUUGCAUGAUCUCAGGAAUCCUUUUGAGAUGGAUACUAGUAUAAUAGGUCGAGUAGUUGCUUUAUUUAAUUAGGAUCUCGGUAGAAGACGAGUGAUUUUUCUAGCACUCGCGCGAGAUCAGGUAAUUGGUUGUAUCCACUUUCUUCUCAUAAUGAUGCUGGUUGUGGACAACAAUCCAUGGGGAUUGGUUGUUUACGAGAUGGGAAAAUGGAAUAAGGACUAACGUGCGGAUACCUGUGUCAAGCGUUUGAACGUACUAAACACAUGCCGAGAAAUAUGGUAAAUCGGUAAGCCUAGUACCUGAUUGAACCUGGCAGUGAACUUUACCCCUCACGCGACCUGAGACGUGGUCUCCCAUUCCGGUUAUGGUGGGUACAAGUGCGGUCACUGCACGACGGCAGUCGGGGUCAGUGAGGCAUUGUACGCCAAGGCGGUGAGCCCUGAUCUGCUGACGGGGAAUCGAUGGGGACGGUUGAUAUGUGUGGGGACGGAGUGCCCUUACAUGUCGUGUGUUUAGGUUUACCUUGCAAGGAUAAAAACUCGAUUCGAAUCGUCUGCUUCUCGCAGCUAAUGAGACUGCUUGAUCCAUUGUACUGCAUUGAGUAACAAGUGGAAAUAUGAUGAGUUGAUAUAAGAUGUUGAUUGCUAAAAAUGUUUGCUACUAUGUAUGAGUAGAUAGUACACAUUUAGCCUUAAGAGAGUCACACUUAAAUUGACAAAGUUAAAACUUGACUUAGAAACUCAGCUAGUGCUUUUGGCAACCAAACCCCACAGCCAAACAGCUGCAUGUCUAGAGGUAGAGGAGUAGACUCCUCACACCGGGUAAGUCUAGCUGAGUAUUAGUAUACUCAGCCUUGCUUGUGGCAUAAUUUUACAGGUUCCUUGGAGGACAUGGUUGCUGGAGUGACUUGGUCGUCCAUCUUGCCACCGGGUUGGACUGUCGAGUGGGACCCCGCCUCGGCUGAGGAGGAGCAUGAGGAGUGAUGGGACAGGCUUCCCCAUCUCUCUGUUUAAUUACCGUUAGUUUUAUUCCGCUGCACUUCGAACAAUGAUGACUCCUUUUGCAAAACUCCGAUGAUGAUGUAAUAAUUUAAUACUCUUUAAUGCAUGGUUUUAUGCUUUAUUGUAUUUGCUCUGUGACUCACCAUCGAGUGAGAUUGUGGUACUUGAUCCUGUCAGUGGCCGUGUCGGACUAGAUCCGAGGGAUUGAUGGGUUAUUCCCAUUUAAGUGUGGUCCAGCCUCUAAGGCGGGACUUAGGCACUUAAGUUGGAAUAAUUCGGGCAGUUCCGCCACACCUCUGCCACCUCCCCCACCACGAGGAGGACCCGGAGAACCUCGACAACCCCAGCAGCAGGAAGGGGGAGAAGGCGGAGCAUUUCCGCGCAUCGACGGAGAAGUCAACGUCAUCUUCGGCAGACAUGGGUCGCAAGAGAGCAAGAGGCAGCAGAAGCUCAACGACCGUCAGAUACUGAUGGCGGCCACCAGUCCUCCCGCCCCGUAUCGAUGGUCCGAACACCCGAUCACCUUCACUCGGGCAGAUCAGUGGCUCAACUUCGAUCAUCUGGGCAAAUACCCGCUCCUUGUCGAUCCGAUGAUCAGAGAGAGAAGGGUAAAGAAGGUGCUAGUGGACGGGGGAAGCAGCAUCAAUGUCACCUUCCCCCGGACACUCCUAGGCUUGGGAGUCGCACUCAAAGAGCUCCAUGAGUCAGACACUCCAUUCUUCAGCUUUGUGCCGACUGAAGGAGAAUAUCCACUCGGACAUAUCUACAUGCCGGUUACCUUCGGAACUCCGGAAAACUACAGAACCGAGUUCUUGAGGUUCAAGGUAGCAAGCUUCGACUAUGGAUACAACGCCAUCAUUGGCAGGCCGGGAUUGGCGAAAUUCAUGGCCAUUCUGCACUAUACAUACAUGAUAUUGAAGAUGCCGAGACCACAAGGAAUCAUUACCGUGCGCGCUGCCAUUCAGGCGGCCCUCACCACCAAAUCAUCAACGACUUCUUCUGCGCGGGCGAACUCAAAGCCUGAGGAGGAUCUCACAGUACCUGCAAAUGAAGCUCAAGCUGUGACCUCUAUGGAUGUGUUGGUUGCCUAGUUUUGCCAGGGCUAGGUCCUGCCGGUGCAGGCACCUUGUUGUUUGGUUUCCCGUACAACCUCAUGGGCUAGGCCCAAUUGAUGCACCAACCACGCCACAGCCUGGCCAGGCGGAUACCGGAGAAUUGGUCUUCGCUCCUGAGCCAGGUUGCGCCGAUGCAAGCAUGAAACACAAGAAAUCAUUUUAAGUUGGUAUUUAUGUUAUAUCUCUUAAUUAAUACAUCUAAUUAAUAAAACGAUUUUACUUCCGCGUUCCUGCCAUUGUUACGAAUAAAACUAGACUACACUUGCUAUAUAAUUAAUACAUCUAAUUAAUAGUUUUUGUUUAAUACAUCUAAUUCAGAUUAUUGUAAAUCGUAUUUAAUCGUAUUUGUAGUUCAAAUUUGUUGUAAUUUGUUUAAUAGCGCUUAAAAUUUUGAAAUUUGGCGGGAGCUUCAUUUUACACAACAAAAUUGCGCGGCAACCCAAUUGGGCCAAGCUACAAAAAUGAGAACCAAACAAUGUAUCAUAUGGGCCUGGUUCAUUUUGACCAGGCAACCAAACAUUGCUUGUUGACUCUGUAUAUGCGGGCUCUCUUGAGCCUGGUCCUCUCACUGAGCCAGGCUCAGGCCGGGCCAGACAACCAAACACAUCCUAUGCGGCCGACUGAGGAAACAAAAAGAAUCAACCUCGGGUUCGCUGAUGAACGCAAGACCGCUAUCAUCAGCUCUAGCCUGGACGACAAAUAGGAAGGCGCGCUCGUCCAGUUUCUGCAAGAUAACCGAGACGUAUUCGCAUGGCAACCUGUGGAUAUGCCGAGAGUCUCGAGAGAACUGGCCGAGCACAAACUGAAGGUCUACCCCCAGGAGAGAGCCAUUCAAACAUGCUUAGCCGAUCACUGGGGCAAGCGGGUAGAAGCCUAUGUUGAUGAUGUGGUGAUUAAGACAGAAAACUCAGAUAACUUCAUUGAAGAUUUGCAGCUGGUCUUCAACAGUCUGAGGCGAUAUCGGUGGAAGCUCAAUCCAAAAAAAAUGUGUCUUUGGAGUACCAGCAGGGAAAUUGCUUGGAUUCAUUGUCAGCCACCGAGGAAUUGAAGCUAACCCGAAAAAGAUCGAGGCUAUCAUGAGGAUGGAAGCACCACGGUCACAGAAGAAAGUGCAAAGACUUACUGGAUGCAUGGCAACUUUAAGCAGGUUCAUAUCAAGGUUAGGAGAAAAAGUCCUACCAUUCUACAAAUUGCUCAAGAAGGUGGAUAAGUUCCAGUGGACCUCAGAAGCUCAGGAAGCUCUUGAUGCACUGAAGAAGUUCCUGACCACACUGCCAGCGCUAAAGCUGCCACGCCGAGCCACGCCAAACCAGCCGGCGAAAGAUCUCCUGUUGUACAUCUCUUGCACGACUCACGUGGUGAGCACCGCGUUGGUAGUCGAGCGAGCAGAGGAAGGACACGUGUAUCCAGUACGGCAUCUCAUCUACUUCAUCAGCGAAGUUCUGGGGCCAUCUAAGAAGAAGUAUCCUCAAGUUCAAAAACUGUUAUACGCAGUACUUCUAACUGCACGCAAGCUCUGUCACUACUUCAACGACCACAAAGUCAUAGUAGUCAUCGGGUUUCAAUAGGGGAUAUUCUCCACAAUAAAGAAGUCAUUGGAAGAAUAGCCAAGUGGGCCUGCGAGCUGGGAGCUCACGACAUUGAGUUUUGGCCUCGCACUGCAAUAAAGACUCAAGCACUAGUUGACUUCGUAUCAGAGUGGACCGAGCAACAAGUACCAGAUAACCCGGAGACUGCAGAAGUAUGGCGGAUGUAUUUCGAUGGCUCGCUGAAGCUGCAGGGGGCAGGCGCAGGGAUCCUCUUCAUUGAACCUGGAGGUGACCAACUCAAAUAUGCUCUUCAGUUGUUAUUCUCAGCAUCCAAUAAUGCAGCAGAAUAUGAAGCUUUGAUCCACGGAUUGAACAUUGACAUAUCACUGGGCAUUAAGAGGUUGAUGGUAUACGGAGAUUCACUGGUGGUCAUAAGUCAGAUAAAUAAAGAAUGGGAUUGCUCGAAUGACUUUAUGGGCAAGUACUGCAUAGCCGUCCGAAAGCUGGAAGACAAAUUUGAGGGGCUGGAAUUUCAUCAUGUGGAAAGAGAUCGCAACGCGGUAGCAGACGCGUUAUCGAAACUAGGAUCCAGUCGGACCUAGGUUCCACCUGGAGUUUUUGUCCAAGAGGUGCCACGCCCAAGCAUUUCCUCAGAUCAAGCAGAAGAGUGCAACGUUUUAAGCCAGCCAGAGUCAGACUCUAAUGACUGGAGGGAGCCCAUCAUCAGAUAUAUAAAGAAUGAAGAGGAACCGGAUGACAAAGCCACAGCAGAAUGCAUCUCAAGGCAGUCAGCCCACUACACCCUCAUUGGGGAUGCACUGUACAGAAGGGGCGCAACAGGAGUCCUCAUAAAGUGCAUUCCUUCGGUUACUGGGAAGCAACUGUUAGAUGAGAUCCACGCCGGACAGUGCGGGAUACACGCAACAUCUAGGACUCUGGUUGGGAAGGUCUUCUGGUCUGGUUUCUACUGGCCGACAGCAAAGAGUGAUGCAACCGAGUUAGUACAGAGGUGUGAAGCUUGCCAAUUCUUAUCAAAGCAGCAGCAUUUACCUACACAGCAACUGCAGAUCAUACCCGUAACAUGGCCAUUUGCGUGCUAGGGACUAGACAUGAUUGGACCCUUCAAGAAAGCUCAGGGAGGAUACACUCACGUAUUGGUCGCCAUUGACAAAUUCACCAAAUGGAUACAAUACAAACUCAUUGCUUCUCUGACUUCAGCCAAGGCAGUGGAGUUCAUACAAGAUAUAAUAUUCAUGUUUGGGAUACCGAAUAGCAUCAUAACCGACCUGGGAUCCAAUUUCACUAGCUCUGAAAUCUUUGAUUUCUGCGAACAACGAAGCAUCCAGAUCAAAUAUGCAUCAGUAGCACAUCCAAGGGCCAACGGUCAGGUAGAAAGGGCUAAUGGAAUGAUACUGGAAGCACUCAGGAAGAAAGUCUUUGACAAGAAUGAAAAGUUCGCGGGAAAAUGGAUCAGAGAGUUGUCGUAUGUAGUUUGGAGCUUAAGAACUCAACCUAGUCGAGCUCUACAUGGAAAUACUCCUUUCUUCAUGGUCUAUGGUUCGGCGGCAGUGCUACCAGCCAACCUCAGGUUUGGGGCACCAAGGCUGGUCUUCGAAAACAUAGCUGAGGCAGAGGCUACCAGACUAGAGGACAUUGACGUAUUGGAGGAAGAGCGAUUGAAUACAGUAAUUCAGUCAGCUAGAUACCAGCAAACCCUAAGGCGCUAUCAUGACAAGGCCAUACGACAUCGAUCCUUUGUAGUGGGAGACUUGGUCCUUCGUCGAAUUCUAACGGUGGAAGGACGGCACAAAUUGUCACCACUAUGGGAAGGGCCAUUUGUAGUAGCGGAGGUCACUCGGCCGGGAUCAUAUAGGCUUACUCAAAUGGAUGGCACGGAAAUAGGGAAUUCAUGGAAUAUAGAGCAUCUCAGGAAGUUUUACCCUUAGCAAGAUUUCAAAAGCUAUCGGGGGAGCAUUGUAUUCUGUAAUUGGAAAAUAUCUCAUCAAUAAAAGAUUUCAUUCUCAAGGGCACUCGAACUGUUUAUUAUCAAUCAGCACGCUUACUCGGCAUAGGGUGACCACUAUACCCUACUAACGGAGCAAUCGGCUUAAGUCGGCAAUGACUUAAGACGGUGCAACAUGCUCACGCUUACUCGACUAAGGGUGACCACUAUACCCUACUAAUGAAGCAAUCGGCUUAAGUCGGUAAUGACUCAAGACGGUGCAACAUGCUCAUGCUUACUCGACUUAGGGUGACCACUAUACCCUACUAACGGAGCAAUCGGCUUAAGUCGGCAACGGCUUAAGACGGUGCAACAUGCUCACGCUUACUCGACAUAAGGUGACCACUAUACCCUACUAACAGAGCAAUCGGCUUAAGUCGGCAGCGACUUAAAACGGUGCAACAUGCUCACGCUUACUCGACUUAGGGUGAGCACUAUACCCUAUUAAUGGAGCAAUCGGCUUAAGUCGGCAAUGACUUAAGACGGUGCAACAUGCUCACGCUUACUCAACUUAGGGUGACCACUAUACCCUACUAACGGAGCAAUCAGCUUAAGUCGGCAAUGACUUAAGACGGUGCAACAUGUUCACGCUUACUCAACUUAGUGUAACAUGCUCGCAAGACGAUCUAUAUACCUUACCAGCUGAUCAACUAGCGUAAAUAGAAAAAGAUUCCAAAACCAGCGCACUGCACUUACUUCUACAAUCAUUCAUGACAACUGUUGAAUUCUAACAACAGAAACAAAAUGUUAUAGUUUUAGCGCCAAGAACACAUUCUAACAUCCUACCGAAUAUUCAAGCGCGCUGAUCACACAUACAUAUGGUUCACAAAUGCAUUCAAUGUCUUCUAAACACAGCAAAACAACUCUACUUGGCAAUGCCUUUCGCAGGAGCAAUCAAGGAUGAAGGGCGACUCGAAGCAUCAGGUGUAGCCUUGACGUCCGCAACAAUGUCAUUAGGAACAACUACACUAGGCCUUCUCAUCAAGAUUCGCCUCGCAUGGAUGGCUUUGUCCAUAACCUUGUCGCGCUAGGCCUUCAAAACAGCGCAAUUGUCCUCUGCAACCUUGGCAGCCAGUCGAGCGGCCUCUAGCUCCUGGGCGACUGAUCUCUUGGAGGCACGCAGAUCUUUAAUGACAGAGUCCUUGCUUGACACCAACUGCCUGAGCUGCAGGAUCUCAUCCUAGUAUACUUGCAGUUCAUGGCGAUGAUGAUCCAGAUCUGUCAUGGUGAAGCGGUGGCUCCUCUCCAAGAUGGUUAGAGAAUUGUUGGCAUCACGAUAUAACCGAUCCAGAUUGUCGCGAGAAGUUGCAAGUGCUUGUUUCUCUUCCUAUAGACAAGAAUCAGCUCUCAGAUAUCCAGAAAUCAGUAAAAAGCAUGGCAGAUCCAGUUAAGUAGGCUUACCUCGUUAGCCGCCCUUUCAGAGUCAAGCCGAGCAUUAAGAGAGGAAUUCAAAGAAUUUGCGUCGUCUAAAGAAGCAGAAACCUGGGCCAGGUCGACCUGACCUUGGGAAUACUUCUCCUCAAGCUCAGAAUACCGCCAGGUUGAGUCGGUUUGAUACUGAAGAUGUUUCUCCUCGAGCUCAGAGUACCGCCAGGUCAUAUCUAACAAAAAGCAACCAAAGAAAUAUACACGGUCAAAAAACAAAUUAAUUAAUCAGCCAAGGAAGAAGCAGAGAUACCAACCAGCAUUUGACACUUUCAAAUCAGCUAUCUGUUUCUAAAGCAGCAAUGGAUUCCACUGCGUCACGGACAGAGCUCCUUCUGGAAUAGUAGCACCGUGUGAUUUCAAUUGAGCAGACAUCCCAUCAACCAAAGCCUGUUAUUAAAAACAAGUGAGUACGAAGAAAGUAAUUUACCAGGAGGAAUGACAAUGAAAAAAGCUAGUUUACCUGAAGAUUAGAAUAGAAUGAAGGCAGUCCCAAGUCAUGAGAAGUUGUGUCAUAACUCGACGAAGGAAGAUCAACUGGAACAAUCUGAAAAGCAUCAUCGGGGGUUGAUUUAGCUCCACCAGCAGAUAUCAGAAUCCUGUCAUCCAGUGCGCCGACCGCUAAGGCGACUCCCUCACUUGAAGUUAAAGAAGUAUGCAUCACUAUCACUCCAUCAGAAUGUGGUGGAGACGACCUGACGUGGACAUCCAUGGAGGUAUGGGAAGGAGAGCUCGCUCGGACACCCUCGGGGGCUGGCUUGCAGCUCGCACUGCCCGUCGGAGCCGGAUCACUACCGGCAACACCCUCGGGGGCUGGGUUGUAGCUUGCGAUACCCACCCGAGUCGGAUCAUUACCGGAAACACCCUCAGGGGCUGGGUAAUCGCCAGCACCACCCUUGGGGCUGGGUUUUCUGCAACAGCCACCUCUACGGCUGAAGGAUCCUCAGUCACCUCUAUGGGAGUCGGGCAAUCUGGACCAACCUCUUGACACCGAAGACCGCCUUCCAAGGUCGACGAUGCGCGAGAUGCUGCCCGGGAUACCUCUAAUCCCACAUCUGGAAUGUCAGAGCAAACAUCCAUCAUAUCACCAUCAGUCGGCUCUGACAGCAUAUCCUCAGGAACGACAUCCUCAAGGGCCUGAUCAAAAUCUGUUAUGGAUAAUUCUUGCAGACUAACAAGAGCAGACAGAGCUGAAGAAGGAAUAUCACUAUCCCCUCUGCUACCUCUGUAACGCCGACUAUUCUUGCGAAUUAGUGGAACUUCUUCUUCUUCUUCGUCCUCAUCAAAAAUGCGGACAAAGGAUGGGGCAGGAUCACACCCAUCGGGCUCAGCUGCAAUAGGAUUACACCCAUUGGGGUCAGCUUCAGCAGGGUCACACCCAUUGGGGUCAGUCGGUGCACGGUCACACCCAUUGGGGUCAACUUCAGUAGGUACACCACCAGUGGGAUCAACUCCAGUAAAGACCUCUGCUGGUACUUCUUCACAAGCAGGAGCAGAAGGUCCAGCAUCCUGGUCCAAACAUGACAACCGCCAGAGCCGUCUCUUUUUCUUCUUCUUCCCUUCAGCAGGUGCAGUUGGGCGGCUGACCUGGUGAAGAUGCUUUGGGCGAGUACCCUCAGGUUUCGGGUGUCCACUAUUCUGUCAAGCUUUGGUAUAACUGCAACAGCCAUUGUUUCAGUAGGGGUCAAAUCAAAAGAUUCUCCAGCCAACAUAUCAAGCACAUCAUUCAUCUCUGCAUCAUCUGGACUCACUGGCAUUUCAAAAUGAAGUUGCCUCUCAUCAUUGGGAAGAUCACAAAGAGAAGCAACCAAGGCCUCAAUAUCUUCGGGAGAGGGUCGCACUCUUAGACCCAGACCACUAUCACCAGCAGGAGGAUUAGACACGAAAUUGAAAAAGGACUUAGGAGCUGGCAGAUUCCAAGCAGAGUAGGCAACAGGAGCACCAACAUUUGAUACUUUGCCUCUCAAGAUCAUGUCUAGACGGCUCACCAAAUCCUUAGCAGGAAUUCUCCUAUUAGUAACCCGAGUGGAGUCGGUAACACCACUGUACAAGUAAGCCAGGUAUGCUCUGUCCUUCAGGGACUCGAUGUUCUUAAAAACAAAAUCAGCAACCACAGCUUUGGCGGUCAGACCUCUUUCCUUCAGCAGACAAACUUCAGCAAGCAGAACCUUAGCCUCUGUUACUUCCAGGGCAGUAGGAGACUCAAUCCAACUUGGAGUGCGCACAUCUGGCUAUCUUCCCGACCGAGGGGGGAGGGACUUGUCGUGGUUUUCCACAAUAAACCACUCAAGACACCACCCCUUAAUGUUGUCCUUAAGCGGAAUAUCAAGAUAUUCUAUUUUCCUUCCGCGCCGCAUUUCCAAACUCACACCACCCACGAGUUGGUGCUGACCCCCAGCCAUCCCAGGUCGAUAGUGGUACAGAUACUUCCAUAAACCAAAGUGGGGAAGAACUCCGAUGUAGGCCUCGCACAGAUGAACAAAAAUAGAGAUUUGCAUAAUGGAAUUGGGAUUCAGAUGAGUUAGGUUCAGAUUGUAAAAGUCAAGGAGACCGCGAAAGAAAGGAGAAAUGGGAAGAGCAAGGCCGCGGAUAAGAAAAGGAACAUAAACAAUGGACUCGUGGGUAUCCUCUGUAGGGAUAAUAACCCCACGGCAAAUCCGCCAAGAACAAAGCUCUUUCGGAGGAAGAAUUCCAACAUCGACAAGGUGAAGGAGAUCUGAUUAUGAGACAACAGACAUAUGGUUACCUGCGAAAGGCAACUGGCUAUUGGGGUCGAUGGGAGGAAUGACCACCGCAGUAGAAUUUUGGUUCUUCCGCUUGGGCGCCAUCGCAAUCUCGUCAGCGGAUUGAAAGGAAGCGAAAUCAGAGGGAAGCAGAUUAAUGUUUGGAGGAAGGUGAAGUUAGGGCUUAGAAUGCAGAGGCGUGCGGCGACGUGAUAUAAAUGGGGUUUUCCUAGGUCAGACACCAUUUCUAAAAAGUGCUAAGUCAUCACUCGGAAAAAGCAAGACGUCCUGGCAUAACUCGGCAGCUACCUCUAAAGCGCCGAUGUGGCCCCGCAUAACAUGGCAGCUGCCUCUAAAGCGCCGACGUGGCCCAGCAUAACUCGGUAGCUACCUCUAAAGUGCCAACGUGGCCCAGCAUAACUCGAAAGCUACCUCUAAAGCGCUGACGUGGCCCGGCAUAACUCGGCAGCUACCUCUAAAGCGCCGACGUGGCCCAGCAUAACUCGGCUAUUACUUCUAAAACGCCGACAUGGUCCAGAGCAGCUCGGCAAUUAUUUCUAAAAAUGCUGGCAAUGCAUAACUCAGCCGUUUUCUCCAUGUAAAUGUCGGCAGAACCAAAUACGACUGAGCAAUUACCAGUCGUUACUCGGGUGUUAUCUCUAAGAACAACGGCAACGCUGGGCAUGAAUAGAAGCUAUCGAUCAACUAUAAAAGAACGAUGGAAAAGCAAAAAGGAGAGACUCAGAACAAGCCGAAGUUUUCUUCAAUAUAUUGAUAAGGGAAGUUCUUCUACAAACUCAAAGACCAACUCAUUAUGAGCCGGCCUUCCUUCCCUUUUUUGCUACAUUACACUACUACACCACCACACUACUUACACUACUCUAUACUACUAACUACUACUACAUUAUUUCACUAUUACUAAUACUACUUCUACUGCUACUUAUCUAUACUAAUAUUUAAGCCAGUGGCGCUGCCGCCGUCGUCCUUGCUGCUGCCGCCGUCACCCUUGCCGCUGCCAUCGUCGCCCUUGUCGCCGUCGUCGCCCUCAUCAUCGCCGUCAUCACCGCUCCCCUCCUUGGACGAGUCGGAGGAGUCCUCCUCGUCCGAGGAGAUCUCCGACUCAUCCGAGCCCUCGAGCCCAGAGCGCUCGAUGGCCCGGAUAUACGUCCACACCUCGGCGGCGAUCCCCUGGGAAUCGUCUGAGUCAUCGGACGACACCGGGGGAGAGGCGUAGGUUGGCGACCCCUCGGACUUGGAGGAGAACUCCUCCUUUGAGUACUCGGAGUCACCGAAGUCCUCGGAGGGGGGACUCAGCUCGCGCUUCCGCUUGUCGCCGGAGUGGUGCGACGAACUUCCGCCUUUCUUGCUCUUGCCCAUGGUUGAGUAGAAGAGAAGAGAGGAGAAUAAGCAACAAACGGUCGAGAGAUGUGUGAAGACACCAGUGAAGCAAGCGCUCUAUUUAUAGGGGCGGGAUGCAACCGCUCAUCUCCUACAGUCACUAAACAGUCGCAAAUAUUCAAUAUGCAAUUCAAAUCGUCUGGAAACAAGUCAGGUGGCAGACGUCGUUUCACGUAACACGACACCCAUUGGGACUGAAGUCAACUGCUUGGACGAUAUGAUUACAUUCAUGGUCACGUCAAGUUACUACUCAGGGGCAGUUUGCUAAACGCUCAGCGCACCAAGCCGUCCCUUGGCUACACCCAUUAGGGAGGGGACGUCCAGGAAUUUUCAAUAGAUUUUCCCAAGUAGUCACAUCCAUACAGUAUACGCAAUGAAUGUAUCAAGACAGAAGGAAGAUAUCAAUAGAGAUCGGAGGAAAGCCAAAAAUAGCUGGUGAAGUACAAGUCUAAUCAACAGAAGCAUUGAAGCACGAAGAGAAAUGAAGACCAGCUAAGAGCCAUCUACCGGACGUCCAAUCUAUCGCAGAUCAAAUUAAUUUCAAACCUAACAGGACAUGGGUAGAUCGCGUUGUUGAUCUCAAAGGCAAAACCGUAUGCUGAUCUCUAAAGCAUAAAGCUAAUGAUAUAAUGCUGAAUUCUAAGGCAUUCGACGAAGAUAAAAGGAUGAUUUCUAAAAGCACGGAAUGAAGACCUUUGAGUGGAUUAUUUUCAGUAAUCCACUCAAAGCUCGGGGGCUACACCCAGUGCACCCAAUGAAUCAUUAACCACAAAAGACAGAAUGUUGAUCUCUAAAGCAUGAACUAACGAUAAAAUGCUAAUUUCCAAAGCAUGAGAUGAAGAUAAAACAAUGUUGAUUUCUAAAGCAUGAGAUGAAGAUAAAACAAUGAUUUCUAAAAAAGCGUGAGAUGAAGACCUUUGAGUGGAUUUUUUUCAGUAAUCCACUCAAAGCUCGAGGGCUACACCCAAUGAAUCCUGAACCCCAGAGAACAGAAUGCUGACCUCCAUAGCAUAAGCCAGAGACAGAGCACCGAUUUCUGAAGAAUAAAGCGAAGACCGAUGAAUAAUGGCAGGAGAGGAUAACAGAAGAUCGUUUUUACCGAGUUACUCAGAGUUCAGAAGCAGUAACUCGACAAGCCUAUUUUUAGAGCAUUCCUUACCAAAAUCAAAAACUGCAAGUUGGACCUAGAAUCUUUGGGCUGAUUAUUUCAAAAUCAACUCAAAGAUUGGGGGCUUGUGGGGGACAGAUAUCCUCUGGGUCCACUAGAAGGCAAGAAGGCCUCGCGAAAGGCCUCGGGCCCAUUAUCUCGCAAGGUCAUCCCUUCGUGGGCCAGGGGAGGAAUGUCUAGCAGAAUGGAUCAGCAUAAGAUCGGAUUGACUCGAGCCCGUGCGGCCCACUGAAUUCAAACGUUAUCCACAGCAGUGAUCCGAGCGGGUGCGGGCAACUUGGCGAUUCACCUUCCCACCUGCAGCACUAUAUAAACAGACGGGUAGGUGUGAAGUUACCACAGCAUUCAUUGUCAUUGUGUUGUUGUGCUGUUGAAAAAUUUAACCAUAGCCAAAGCUUUUUCACUGCAUUCUCAAGCAAAGCAUCAUCUUGAUUUAGCUUCGACAAUAGAAAGAGCUUCGUCAAAACUGUAAAAAUCAUUAGCUUCGUAAAACCAAAAAAAUCAUCAUCAGAUGGCCAGGGUACGCUCAACUGCAAGGGUGACCCAUGAAGGAGAGGAGGCCGAAGCCACCGAGACGGCUCCAAUCUCCAAAGUUAUGAGGCAAUCGGGAUCGGUUGUGACGGAGGAAGUAAUUGACGAAGGUGCACCUACUGCCGAAGCUGAACAAGCUGACAUCGAAGAAGAAAAUGUUGAUGAAGAAGAGGAAGACUACAACACUCUGAUCCCAUCAAAACCCAGCCAUUUGGACUUUGAAAAAUCUACUGUGUCAAAGGCUGAUGUACCCAUGAUGAUGAAGCUGGGUUACUUCGGAGAAGCUGAGAAGAAACUUAUACGUUUUGCCGGAGAAGAAACCACUCCAGAGCCCAGAAAUGACAAAGUAGUAGUUUACAAAGGUUUUUCAGAGCAGGAUUGCGAUUUCCGCUUCACGAGAUGAUUGGAGAAGUUUUGGAUAACUAUGAAAUCUACCUUCAUCAGCUGACCCCUAACGCUAUCGUUAGGCUGAGCGUCUUCAUCUAGGCUCUUCGAAGCCAAGGAAUGGACCCGAAUGCUGAAGCUUUCUGCCGAGUGCAUGAGCUACAUUACCAGACGAAGGCCAGAGAAGAUGGGCUACAUGAAAAUUUUGGCUGUUAUAACUUCGCGUAUCGCAAGGAUACAAAGGUCCCGGUGCUCAGCUAUCGCACCAAGUGGCCAUCCAGCUAGAAAAGUGAAUGGUUCUAUAUCAAGGCCAAUGAGAAGAAGAGGGAGAAGUUGAAGACGAUAAUCCUGAGCCCACUGAGUUUAAGCUUCGGACUGACUAGGCCCCUGUGCCGCAUGACGUCGGGGUCACCAUGCCAACAAGCUGUAGCAGAAUUCAGGGUGGUGGCUGAAUAGAUCAGCACUAGAGAUCUAGUGCAAGAAUACCUAGCCAACAGGGUAUGUCCAACAUUGAGUGAAUGGAGUAUGCCGAAACUGAAGGGAACGAAGAAAAAGAAUGAACUUGUUCGACUGCCCUAUCGCUUCAAAUUUGAAAAACAAUUCAAAGAGCCUUGCCAAGAGUGGCUAGAAAUGAUUGAGGCUAUGUGCAACGAAAUUUUGGGCAAUUAUACUAAAAAAGAAGAUCAGCUGAUGACUGCAACCUUCGGCACCCGACCAAAACGAAGGUUGAAUCGGGUAAUGGAUGCCUUAAACUUUGAAUAUCUUGACUAUGAGUGACUAUGCAAGGGUGCUGAAGGGCCAAAGAGAAAAAGGGUUGUCAGUAUUAUGAGCAGACAGGCUGCUAGGAUGGUAAAAGAAGAUGAAAAAACUUUGAAAAAGAGAAAAUCAAGUCCUGAGACGAAGGUGGCGACCUCGAAGAAAAGAAAAAGUGCAACUCCAGAGCCAAAGAUGGCUGAGAUAGAAGAGGGAGCUCCUUCGACACCUUCUGCUGCCGAAGUAGAAGAAAUUUUAAAGGUAAUGACCGAAUUAUUACCUAUCAAGUUGCUAAGUCUACUGGGGCUGCAACUGACGAAGCUUUUACAGAAGAAGGACAAGCCUUCGGCAGCAAAGAAGGUGGUUGACCCAAAAAAGCGAAGGAUUGUUACUGUCAUGCAAGCUAUUGAGGAAACACCACCGCCCGCCUCAGCGUCAAAAAUAACACCAGCUGCCGAAGUUGUUGCUUCUGCCGAAGCUCCGACUACCGAACCUACCAACCUGGAGAGUACAUUACCUGAUAUCGAUAAAGUGCUCUUGGAUUUGGCUGCGGAGGAGACUACUGCUUCUGCAGAAGAAGUCCUGGCCACAUUGCCUGAAAAAGGGAAGGAAAUUGCCGAAGAUAUUUCAGAAGAAAAAGACUUCAAUUUUCAAAAUAUAAUUGGUCAAGAAUUAUCCAAGGCUGAGAAAGAGGAGCUGCAGGAGUAUGCUAUAUCCUGUGGCUACCAGCCAGGAGCGAUGCUCUUCGGCAGAAUUAACGAAGAAUCCUUAGGAUGUAUUCGAGAUCGAACUGGAGCGAAGAUUAUCAGCACUCUGUCGAAGAGUGUUAGUUUUUCGAAGCUUGAAGCCGACAUCAGCAGCUACCGAUGACAGCAUAUCGUUGGCAGCUUAUUCUAUUCUAAUUUUAAGGUAAAUUUUUUCCCUUAACUUUUUAUUGUUUUUGCGAUGAAGGUGAUUUCUGAUGAAGGUUAUUUUGUAUAGAGUAUGCUACUAAGUAAAGCCUUGAGGAUGCAACAGGACCUCGAAGAUAAGAAAAAUGAGGUUAUAAUUGAAGGCUUGGAAAGUAAAAUCAAAGAUCAUGAAGCUGCUCUUGAAAAGAAAGAUUUUGUUCUUUAAACAAUGGAGGGUUCAUUGGCAGAGGCCCAAGCCGAAAUUGCCAGAUUAAACAGUGAACUCCUCCUAAAGUCAGAAAACUUCGAGCAAGAAAAGAAGAAUUUUGAUGUAAAGCUUAAAUCUGAAAUUGAAAAAAGUUCAAAUUUGGAGAAAUCCUUGAAAGAGCUUCAGGACAAAUGCUUAAACUUCAGCAACCGGUGCGUGCAACGGCUGAAGCAGGUCUUCAACUCAGUGGGUGCUAGCUCUGAAAAAUUUGAACCUUCGGUUGAAGACCUGCCAAGCACCUUUGAACAUAUUGAGGUCGAAGUUGAGGCGCUUGACGAAGUUAUAGCUAGGCAUGGUGAUUUCUGUGCCUUGCUGGCUUCUCGCGGCACAGUCGUAGCUUUUAUGAAGGCUGGUUGCACGCACGAAAAAAUUGUAAACAGACCGAACUUCAGCCUAUCACCAGCGGAUUUAACUGACAUCCUCAGCCUGGCCCGAAGCAUUGGAAAUAGAUUCAUAACUCAAAUUUGGACGAAGGGUGGGCGGAACUUAGCUUGUGACGAAGCUCAAAGUCAUCUUAAGCCGGUAUUAAACUUGUACCUAUUGCUUACCUUCUCCCGAGAUUUCUAUUUACCUUAUACUGCUUUUUUAUGUUCAGGAUGAUGAAGCCGAAGGUCAAUGAUCCGAAGCUUGACGGAUACUGAUGGAGCUGCUGCAGAAAGCUCUAGAAAAACUUGAAUUAUCUUUGUAGAAAAUAUUGUAAUUUAGGGAUCAAACAUUGCACUUGUAAAUUUGUCCAUACCUUGUAAUAUAUAUUUUUACCUUUCCAUCCGUAUAUGAACUGCUUUGAUGUGGACGAAACUUGUAUUUUUUGAGCCGAAGGCGAAAAACAUCUUCCCUUCUUUUUGUACACAAUGAAGCAUAUCUUUGCUUCUUUAUACUUAUCGAAGCCUUAUCAUCAGAGCCGAAGCAUUUGUUUGUACUCUAUGUUAUGAUGAUGAUGAUCCUACGAAUGUCUAAAUAAAUGUGUAUGAAUGCAAUGAAUGAUGUGAUGUAAUGUGCAAAUGAAUGUCCAUACACACGCAUACAAAGCCACACCCAGACUCUGCAUCCCCUCAGGAACGUCUUUCGAGUCUUAAGCUCUGCAUCCCCUUAGGAACGUCUUUUGAGCUUCUUCACCUUCUAUUUCGGUGGUAUAAGUUCUGCAUCCCCUUAGGAACGUCUUUUGAACUUCUUCGCCUUCUAUUUCGACGGUAGUUGGCUCUGCAUUCCCUUAGGAACGACUUUUGAGCAGAAAACUUACGUUGCGCUCUCUUAGGAACGUAUUUUUGUAGCUUCGUCGUGCUCUGCAUCCCCUUGGGGACGACUUUUGAGCUUCUCCCUGCUCUUUUUUCUCUCCGCACUCGAUGGUGCAUGCUCAGAUUUUACAUUUUACAUUCUUUUGGGGGAUUUGGCUCUCGUGGAGCUAAAUAAGAAAGGAAAAAUUACAAGCUAUGGCUCCAUUAUAAACCUUUCUCCCCCUUUGGAAAGGAAAAGGGUGCCAUAGAAAAAAUGAAAAAAGAUUACACAUAAUAUCGCCGAAGCUCAUCUAUAUUCCAAGAUCUAGGUAUGUCGUUGCCGUCCAUCUCCUUCAAUCUGUAAGAACCGGGCUUCGACGAAGAUACCACCAGAAAAGGUCCUUCCCACUUCAGCUGCAAUUUGCCUACUCUGUUCGGAUUGGCCACUCUCUGAAGCACCAAAUGCCCUGGCUUAAUAUUUUUCAAUCGGACUUUUAUGUCACGCCAUUUUAUUGUUUUGACUUGAUAUUUAUAGAUGUUCUCCACAGCCUGAAGUCUGGUCCCUUCUAUAGUAUCUUUUGCUACAUGGUAAUCAGCUUUGUCUUCUGCCAAAGCUGCUGUUCUUAUUGACCCUGCUUUAGCUUCUUCUGGGGUUAUAGCUUUGUCACCAAAUAAUAGUUUAAAAGGUGUAAAACAUGUUGAUCUUGAUAUGGUUGUAUUGUGGCUCCACACCACUUUAAUCAACUCAUCUGGCCACUUUCCUCUAGGCUGAUUGAAGAUUAGCUUCAUUAUUCCCGUCAUUAUAAUGCCAUUUGCUCUUUCGACCAGCCCGUUUGACUCCGGAUGCCUAACUGAUGCAAAAUGAAUCUUCAUGCCAAUUUGAUCACAGAAAUCCUUGAACGUUUUGGCAUCAAACUGUGUUCCUGUUGGGGACUUGUUCUCAAAUGCUAUGAAUCAAGAACAAGGCAACAUAAAGUGUUAAAUGUUAAUGUCCUUCGUCCAACGAAGCAUUAUUCCCUUGGGGUUUAAUGGACUUUGGAUGAAGGUUGAUUACAGCGCAAUUACGAAGAAUAAAUCUUCGUAAUUGUAUUCUGAUAGAUGGUAUAAAAUAACACAAAGUAUAAAGUAUUAAAGAUAAACGAAUCAUAAACGAAUCAUAUUGCAUUUACUUAGUAUUAUUGAAUACAGUUAUACCUCUGCCUUGGCAAAGAUUGAUUUCCGAAUGAUACGAUUGCAGAUACCGGAAUCCGUGAACAGUAGAGGAAUACUGUUCACUAUUUAUAGGCACAGGGCGCAGCCUGUGAGAGAUUACAAGUUUGCCCCUUAUGAAAGUUUACAACAUUGACUCAGACCUUUAUGGACUAAGAGGUCAUUCUAUCUUUAAGUCGGUUUGUAAUACCGAAGCUUCACAAAUAGGAACCUUCGGCUAUCUUAUACAAACAGCUUCAGCCGAGGACCACUUCUUCCUAUAAGACCUUCGGCGACGAAGCAUAGACCCAACAGUAGCCCCUUUCGCGGUGCUAGAUCGUUUUUCGUAAUGAGCUUGAUCCGUGAAAAAAGUCUCUUAAGCUUCGGAGCGCCGAAGGUCUAAAAAACACCUUCCCUUAGCUCGUUGUCGAGAAACGAUUCGAUCUCAAAGCGUGUAGCGGCCCCACCUUGCAGAGUUACUGUUCAGUCUCUGCGGUCCACCACGCAGCGAGUGCGAGCGGGUGUCCGCCUGGUGCAAAAAUUCUGGCGCUUCGCCUUCUUACCUGCAGCACUAUAUAAACAGACGAGUAGGUGUGAAGUUACCACAGCAUUCAUUGCUAUUUGCACUGUUUUGCUGCCAAAAUUUUUAACCGUCACCGAAGCUUGUCUGUCAGAAUCGAACGAAGCUCCAGUUUGAAACCUGCUUCGGAGGAAGAAAGUAUUAACGUUCCACAAGUUCAUAAUUGAAUGGCCAGAGUGCGUUCUACUGCCAGGGUUGAGCGUGAGGGGGACGAAACUGAAGCUUCGGAGACUGUUCCCAUCUCCGAAGCUAUGCAACGAUCUGGGCUGGUGAUUUCGGAAAAAAUCCCUCAUGAUGAUGCAGAACAAGCAGAACAAACAAUCGCUGAAGCAGAAGAAGAAGAUAUGGAGGAAACUGAUUCUGAAGAUGAUUAUCGCAUUGCCAUGCCAAGCAAACCCAGCCACUUAGACUUCGGGAAAUCUACUGUUUCGAAGGCUGAUCUGUCCAAGAUGGUAAAAUCGGGCUUUUUUACUGAAAAUCAGAAGAAGCUAUUGCGCUUCGGGGGAGAAGAGACUACCCCAAAGCCGGAGAAGGAUGAAAUUGUUAUUUUCAAAAGCUUUCUAAAAGCUGGAUUAAGGUUCCCCCUACAUGGGAUUAUUGCCGAGGUACUGAAGAGAUUCGGUAUUUAUUUUCACCAGCUGACCCCCAAUGCUAUUGUUAGACUUAUUGUUUAUAUCUGGGCACUCCGAAGCCAAGCAGUGGAACCAUUUGCGGACAGCUUUUGCCGGGUGCACGAGUUGCAUUAUCAAACGAAGGCUAGGAAGGAUGGAUUACACGACAAUUUCGGUUGUUAUAACUUCGCCUAUCGGAAAACUACAAAGUUUCCUGUAAUUAGCUACCGAAGCAAAUGGGCAGCAGGCUGGAAAUCUGAGUGGUUCUAUGUCAAAGUUGAUGACGAUAAGGAAAAGCUUGUACAAAGUCCACUUGAAUUAAUCUUCGGAGAAACCCGACCUCGCUGCAACAUGACACCCGAAGGUCCAACACAACAAGCAAUGAGUGAAUUCAGAAUUAUUGCAGAGCAUAUCAGCACAAGGGACCUGGUUCAAGAGUUUUUAGCUUUCAAAGUUUUUCCCAGUUUAAAAGAAUGGGAAAUGCCGAAGCUACAAGGGGAAAAGAAAGAAGGUGAACUUGUACGUUUACCUUACUACUUCAAGUUUAAGAAAUACUUUAAGGCACCUUGCCAAGAGUGGUUGGAAACGAUUGAAGCGAUGUGUAAUGAAAUACUUGGCAAUUAUUCUAAAAAAGAAGAUCAGUUGAUGACCGCAGCCUUCGGCACCCGCCCGAAGCGAAGGCUAAAUCGAGUGUUGGACGCCUUGGGCUUCGAUUAUCCUGAUUAUGAAAAUCUGAACAAAGGUGUUGGGGGCCAAAAAAGAAAAAGGAUAACUGAGGCCAUGAAUGAAGAAAAAGAACCAGUAAAGAAGAAAAUUCCGAAGAAGAGGAAAACUUCUUCUCCGAAGCAACAAAUAUCCGAAGCAGAAGAAACCCCCGCAUCACCUUCUGCAGCUGCCAUUGAGGAAAUUCUGAAGGUAAUGACUGAAUCCUUACCUGCGAAGCUAAGUCCACUGGGCCCUCAACUAACAAAGUUUUUUCAGAAGGACAAGGAGCCCGAAAAAUCGAAGAAAACAAUCAGGGCAAAGAAACAAAGAAUUAUUACCGUGACUGAGGUAAUUGACAAGACGCCGCCAAGAGCUUCAGCCCAGAAAACACCAGCGGCCGCAGAGGAGACAGAUAUUGAAAUUGCACCUUCGGAGGCCGCAGCUGCCGAAGCUGCCUCAGCUGAAGGUUUGAACUUGGAGAGCACAAUUGAACACAUUGACCAAAUACUGCUAGACAUGGCUGCGGAAGAAGCUACCACCGCCGCCGAAGAGGCCGUGACCGCAGCGUCGGGAAAAGGAAAAGAAAUUGCUGAUGAAGCUUCAGAGAACGAGACCUUCAUGUUUCAGAAUUUAGUUGGAGAACAACUAUCAAAAACUGAAAUAGAAGAGCUUAGAGAGUAUGCCAAAUCCUGUGGAUACAAACCUGGGGCCCUCCUCUUCGGAGGCGUUGAUGAUGAGAAAUUAGAUUGCAUUCGAGAUCAAACUGGAGCCAAAAUUAUCGGUACUCUGUCAAAGAGUAUCGGCUUCCCGAAGCUGGAAACAGACAUCAGCCGCUACCGACGACAACAUGUCGUUGGUAGUUUAUUUUAUUCCAACUUCAAGGUGAUACUUGUCCCUUAACUCUAUUGUUUCUAAGAAUAAAAACAUGUCUGACGAAAGUCAUUUUCGUGCAGAGUAUGCUGUUGAGUAAAGCCUUGCAAAUGCAGCAAGAUAUUGAAGAUAAGAAGCAUGAAGUUAUAAUUGAAAAUUUGGAAAGCAGAAUAAAGGAGCAAUCGGAUGUUAUUGAGAAAAAGAACUUUGAACUCCAGGCAGCCGAAGGUUCAUUGGCGGAAGCUGAAGCAAAAAUAACAGAACUAAACACGAAGCUUCUCCGCCAGUCUGAACAGUUCGAACGAGAAAAGCUAGAGCUUAAUGCAAAACUUGAAGCCGAAGCUCAAGAAAAUUCAGAUUUGAGAAAACUAUUGACAGGCCUUCAAGAAAAAUGUCUGGAAUUUAGCAACAAAUGCAUUCAACGCUUAAGAAAGAUUUUUUACUCAGUUGGAGCCAGUAGUGAAAAAUUCACCCCCUCAGCUGAAGAUCUACCAAAAACCUUCGAACAUAUUGAGGGGGAGAUUGACGAGCUCGACGAAGUCAUAGCUGGGCAUGGUGACUUCUGUGCCUGGGUGGCUUCUCGAGGCACUGCUGCAGCUUUCCUGAAGGCUGGCUGCGAUCAUGCAAAGAUUGUCAAUAGGCCAAAUUUCACUUUCUCACCAUCAAUCCUGGAUGACAUUCCUGAUCUCGCCCGGAGUAUCUCGAAUAGAUUUGUAAAAAUGAUAUGGACAAAAGGUGGUCGAGAAAAAGCUGGAGACGAAGCUCGUAGCCACCUUGAACCAGUAAGAAACCAUACCUUGUGCUUACCUCUUCCUGUAAGCUUGAUUUUGACUUACAACGACCUUAAUCUUAUAGGAUGACGAAGCCGAAGCCGAAGCUCAAAAAUGACGCCGAAGCCGAAGCUCCUUAGAGAUUAGAUAGUAGACUGUAGACAGUACUUGAGAAACUUUUGAGAUAACUUUUGUAAAUGUAACUAAAACUUUUGAGAUAACUUCUGUUCAUACCUUGUUAUAUAUCCUUAUCCUUCCAUUGAUGUAUGAGAAAUGCUUUGAUGUGGACGAAAUUUUCUUUUGAGCCGAAGGCGAAAAAACACCUUCCCUUCUUUUCGUACGCCGCAAAGCAUAAAAACAAUAUUUUUCCUUUUUUCCGAAGCUUUCCUUUUUGUACACGAAGCUCUUUCUUCCCCCUUUUUUUUCUUUUUGCCGAAGCAACCAUUUAUGCCAUGAAAAUGAUUAUCCUACAGAUGCCUAGAUGAAUGUUUAUGAAUGCAAAUGCUAUGAUGUAAUGCGAUGUGCAAAUGAAUGGCUAAACACGUAUCCGAAGCCAUAUUCAUAGCCAUUAAAAACAAUCGCACCUCAGCUCUGCAUUCCCUUAGGAACGACUUUGGAGCUUCUUCGCCUUUACUUUUGGUGGAAUCAGCGUUGACUUUUCGCUGUAAGCUCUGCAUUCCCUUAGGAACGACUUUGGAGCUUCUUCGCCUUUACUUUUGGCGGAAUCAGCGUUGACUUUUCGCUGUAAGCUCUGCAUUCCCUUAGGAACGACUUUGGAGCUUCUUUGCCUUUACUUUUUGGCACUCUAUGGUGCGUUCUCAGCUUUUACAUUUACAUUUUUUGGGGGAUUUUGCUCUUAUAGAACUAAAAAAGGAAAUUACAUGUGCUGGCCCCAUUAAAAACCUUUCUCCCCCUUCGGAAAGGAAAAGGGUGCCAUAAAAGAAAAAUAUGAGAAAUUACACCGAGUUAUACAUAAUAUCGCCGAAGCUCAUCCGCAUUCUAAGACCUAGGAACGUCGUUGCCGUCCAUAUCCUUCAGUCUGUAUGAACCGGGUCUUGACGAAGAUGCUACUAAGAAAGGUCCAUCCCAUUUUAACUGCAACUUGCCCACUGUUUCUGGGUUGGCCACUCUCCGAAGCACCAAGUGUCCUGGCUCAAUAUUCUUUAACCGAACCUUUCUAUCUCGCCAUUUAAUUGUUUCGGCUUGAUAUUUAUUAAUGUUCUCCACGGCUUGCAGCCUGAUGCCUUCUAAAGCAUCUUUUUCCACAGAAUAGGCAGCUUCGGAACCUGAUUCUGCCGAAGCUAUUACCCUUAUUGAUCCGGUUUUAGCUUCCUCCGGAGUUAUUGCUUCGUCACCGAAUAAUAACUUGAAUGGAGUAAAACCUGUAGACCUUGAUAUUGUUGUAUUGUGGCUCCACACCACUUUGGUUAACUGAUCUGGCCAUUUUCCCCUGGGUUGAUUGAAGAUUAACUUCAUUAUUCCUGUCAUUAUGAUGCCAUUGGCUCUUUCAACGAGUCCAUUUGACUCCGGAUGUCUGACUGAUGCAAAAUGGAUCUUCGUACCAAUUUGAUCACAGAAAUCCCUAAAAGCUUCGGAAUCAAACUGUGUUCCAUUAUCCACAGUAAUAGCCUUUGGUACCCCGAACCGACAAACAAUAUUUUGCCAGAAAAACUUUUGGACGGUGGCCGAAGUUAUUGUGGCUAAAGGCUUUGCCUCAAUCCAUUUGGAAAAAUACUCCACCGCCACUACAACAUAUCUUAGGUUCCCUUGGGCCGGUGGUAACGGACCUAACAAAUCAAGGCCCCACCUUUGCAAUGGCCAAACGGGUUGUAUGAGCUGUGUUAAGGACGAAGGUUGUUUUUGAUCUCGUGCACAUUUCUGACAACCUUCGCACUUUUGAACUAAUUCCGCCGCAUCCGAAGCUGCCUUCGGCCAAUAAAAUCCUUGGCGGAAAAUUUUUCCAAGUAACGGCCUAGACCCAAUGUGAGAUCCACACAUGCCUGCAUGUACCUCUUUCAUCAACUCUAUACCUUCGGUUCUGGAUAAACAUUUGAGUAGCGGAGCACAAACUCCAUGCUUGUACAACUCCCCUUCUAUCAUGACAUAUGGACGAGCUCUUGCCUCUAUCCUCCUGUUAUGAGCUUCGUCAUCUGAAAGGAAUUUUCCCUGAAGAUAAGAGAUGAUCUCAGUUCUCCAAUCUUCGCUAUACACAGGAGAUAUACUGAGGACUGCCCUUUCAAGAAGUUCCACCGAAGGUGCUUUUAUUGUUUCGAAGAAUACAUCUGAAGGUAAAGGCAGCCCCUGUGCUGCUGACUUAGCUAACAAAUCAGCAUGUUCAUUCUGUCCUCGAGGGAUAUUUUUGACAGAAAAUCCUUCGAAGGAAGCUUCAACUCUUCGAACCAUAUCCAGAUAUUUUUCAAGCUUCGGAUCCUUAGCCUUGCAACUCUUGUCAAUAUGACCCGAAACAACCUGGGAAUCAGUUUUGAGUAUAGCCCUUCUGAUUCCCAUUGCUUUUAGCUUCCGAAGACCUAGAAGCAAGGCUUCGUACUCGGCAAUAUUAUUUGUGCAACUAAAAUCAAGCUUUGCCGCAUAACAAGUUUUGACCUUGGAAGGUGAAACCAACACAGCAGCCGCUCCUGCUCCGAAGGUUCCCCAAGAUCCAUCACAAAACACUAUCCAUGCUUCGGCGUCUUUAUUUGCUUCUUCCUCCUGAGCCCCUGGCGUCCAGUCAGCAAUGAAGUCUGCUAACGCCUGGGACUGAAUUGAAGAUCUAUGAACAUAUUCAAUACAAAAUUCAUUGAGCUCUGCAGCCCAUUUUCCAAUCCUUCCAGUAGCUUCUCGGUUCCUCAUAAUAUCCUUCAGAGGUUGUGAAGAAGGAACAAUUAUGUUGUAAGCUUGAAAAUAAUGCCGAAGCUUUCUGGAUGCCAUCAAAACAGCAUAUAACACCUUCUCUAAUUCUGUAUAGUUUUUUUUGAUAAACUGAGAACUUCAGAUACAAAAUAUACUGGGACCUGUUUCCUGGCUUGGCCAUCAAGCUUCUCCUGGACAAGUGCUGCACUUACCGCUGAGUGCGAAGCUGCCACAUAUAAUAAUAAAGGAGCCCCUGGCAUAGGUGGAGUUAGUGCUGUUAGAUCUAUUAAAUACUGCUUCAGCUCUUCGAAGGCCUUCUGCUGGAUUGGUCCCCAUUGAAAGACUUCGGCUGACUUCAGCACUUCGAAGAAUGGUAAGUUUCUCUCUGCUGAUCUGGAUAUGAAUCUAUUGAGAGAUGCCAACCUUCCUAUCAAUCUUUGGGCCCCCUUUUUUGUAGUUGGUGGCUCCAUCCGAAGUAUAGCUUCAAUCUUACUUGGAUUGGCUUCAAUUCCCUUUGUUGAAACCAAGCAUCCUAGAAAUUUCCCCUUCUUUACUCCGAAGACGCAUUUUUCUGGAUUCAACUUUAAACCAGCUUGUCUGAAACUGGCGAAGGUCUCCUGCAAGUCAGCAAUAUGAUUCUCCUGCUUCGUGCUUUUGACAAUGAUGUCAUCAACAUAAGUUAGCACAUUUCUGCCUAUCUGAGACUGGAGAACUUUCGCAGUCAUUCUGCUGAAACUUCCUCCAGCGUUUUUGAGCCCCUCAGGCAUCCGAAGAUAACAAUAUGUGCCACUUGGAGUUAUGAAGCUAGUCUUUGGCUCAUCUUCCUUCUUCAUCCAAAUUUGAUGAUAGCCUGAAUAACAGUCUAACAGACUCAUGAGCUCUGAAGAAGCUGCUGCAUCAACUAAAGAGUCUAUCCUUGGCAAUGGGAAUUCAUCCUUCGGACAAGCCUUGUUAAGAUCUGUAAAAUCAAUACACAUUCGCCACUUGCCAUUAGCCUUUUUUACCAUAACGGUAUUAGCUAGCCAUUCUGGGUACUUUACUUCUCUGAUGACUCCUGCACUGAGGAGUCUUUUGACUUCGUUACGAGCACCUUCGGCCUUAUCAUCUGACAUUUUCCGAAGCCUCUGUUUUCUGGCUCUGAAGGAUGGAUCAACAUUAAGCGAAUGUUCAAUAACAUCCCUAUUUACUCCGCAGAGAUCAUUAGCUGACCAUGCAAAAACAUCUUUGUUGUUGAACAAAAACCUUAUCAAGGUUUUCUCCUGCUCUUCGGAUAAUUGAGAGCCUAACAGCACCUUCUGCUCUGCUAUGUCCUCACAUAAGAGCAUAGGCUUCGGCUGAUCUGCUGAAGCUGCUUUCUCCCUUCUGAACUUGUACUGCUCACAAGCUUCAGCUCCAUCUAUGUUAUGGAUUGCUUUUGAGUCAGUCCAAUUACCUUCGGCCUUUCUGGCGGCUUCCUGACUUCCAUGUAUAGCGAUGGGUCCUUGAUCCGAAGGUAUCUUCAUGCAAAGAUAGGCAGGAUGAAGAAUUGCUUCGAAAGCAUUGAGGGUGCCACGACCAAUAAUUGCAUUGUAAGGGUAUUCCAUAUCAACAAUGUCAAACACAACUUGCUCAGUUCUAGUGUUGUUGAUGAAGCCGAAGGUUACUGACAUGGUGAUUUUGCCCAAUGCUACAAUAUGUCUCCCUCCGAAGCCACAGAGAGGAUGUGUAGCAUCAUGAAUCUUAUCUUCUGGCUCUUGCAUUUGUCUGAAGGCCUUAGCAAAUAUGAUAUCCGCUGCACUGCCUGUGUCAACCAAGACAUUAUGGACCAGAAAUCCUUUGAUAACACAAGAGAUAACCAUGGCAUCAUUGUGUGGGUAAUCCUUGAGAUGAAGAUCCUCUUGGGAGAAGGUAAUGGGAAUGUGAGACCAUCUUGACUUGAUGAAGGGUCCUUGCACCCCAACAUGUUGUACCCUUCUCUGUGCUUCUUUCUUUUGUUUCUUGUUAGCUGGUUCUGAGGAUGAACCACCUGUGAUCGGGAGCACCAGCUUCGGGUCCGAAGCAGCUCCAGCUUGGUCAUUGAACGAAGCCAUCAGUUCGAGAAGUGGAAGUGAGUUCACCGGAGGUGGGCGCCAAUGUUGGGGACUUGUUCUCAAAUGCUAUGAAUCAAGAACAAGGCAACAUAAAGUGUUAAAUGUUAAUGUCCUUCGUCCAACGAAGCAUUAUUCCCUUGGGGUUUAAUGGACUUUGGACGAAGGUUGAUUACAGCGCAAUUACGAAGAAUAAAUCUUCGUAAUUGUAUUCUGAUAGAUGGUAUAAAAUAACACAAAGUAUAAAGUAUUAAAGAUAAACGAAUCAUAAACGAAUCAUAUUGCAUUUACUUAGUAUUAUUGAAUACAGUUAUACCUCUGCCUUGGCAAAGAUUGAUUUCCGAAUGAUACGAUUGCAGAUACCGGAAUCCGUGAACAGUAGAGGAAUACUGUUCACUAUUUAUAGGCACAGGGCGCAGCCUGUGAGAGAUUACAAGUUUGCCCCUUAUGAAAGUUUACAACAUUGACUCAGACCUUUAUGGACUAAGAGGUCAUUCUAUCUUUAAGUCGGUUUGUAAUACCGAAGCUUCACAAAUAGGAACCUUCGGCUAUCUUAUACAAACAGCUUCAGCCGAGGACCACUUCUUCCUAUAAGACCUUCGGCGACGAAGCAUAGACCCAACAGUUCCAUUGUCCACAGUUAUAGCCUUCGGCAUACCAAAGCGACAAACAAUAUUUUGCUAGAAGAACUUCAUGACUGUAACCAAAGUUAUUGUAGCCAAAGGCUUCACUUCAAUCCACUUAGAAAAAUAUUAUACAGCCACCACAACAUAUCUCAAAUUAACUUGCGCUAGUGGAAGUGGGCCUAACAAAUCCAGGCCCCAUCUUUGCAACGGCCAAGUAGGCUGUAUUAGCUGGGUGAGAGAUGAAGGUUGUUUCUGGUCUCUUUCAUAUUUUUGACAAUUUUCACAUUUUUGAACUAGCUCUGCUGCAUCCGAAGCUGCCUUCGGCCAGUAAAAUCCUUGUCUAAACACUUGUCCCAACAAGGGCCUAGACCCAAUAUGAGAUCCACACAGACCUGCAUGUAUCUCCUUCAUUAAUUCAAUACCUUCAGCUCAUGAUAAACACUUGAGUAGUGGAGAACAGACUCCAUGUUUAUAUAAUUCCCCUUCUAUUAUCACAUACGAUCUUGUCCUUGCUUCCAUUCUCUUAUUAUAAGCUUCGUCAUCUGAAAGACAAUUACCUUGGAGGAAAGAUAUAAUUUCAGUCCUCCAAUCUUCACUAUGUACUGGGGAAAUUGCAAGCACUGCUCUCUCCAUGAGUUCAGCCGAAGGUGCCUUUAUUGUUUCAAAAAAAUACUUCCGAAGGUAGAGGGAGCCCCUGUGCUGCUAACUUGGCUAGCAGAUAUGCAUGCUCAUUUUCUCCUCUUGGAAUAUUCUUGACAGAAAAACCUUCGAAAGAAGCCUCCAACCUUCGCACUGUAUCCAGAUAUUUUUCAAGCUUCGGGUCUCUUGCCUUGCUACUUUUGUCUAUAUGGCCAGAAAUGACUUGAGAAUCAGUUUUCAGGAUGGCCCUUCUUAUUCCCAUUGCCCUUAACUUCCGGAGCCCCAACAGAAGUGCUUCGUAUUCAGCAAUAUUGUUUGUGCAACUGAAGUCAAGCCUUGCUGCAUAACAUGUUUUGGCUUUUGAAGGCACGACUAGGACAGCAGCCGCUCCUGCACCGAAGGUUCCCCAGGAACCAUCGCAGAACACUGUCCAAGCUUCGGCGUCUUUGUUUAUUUCUUCUUCCUGAGCCCCUGGUGUCUAGUCAACGAUGAAGUCUGCUAACACCUGGGACUGAAUUGAGGAUCUAUGCACAUAGUCAAUAGUGAAUUCGUUAAGCUCCGUAGCCCAUUUUCCAAUCAUUCCAGUAGCUUCUCUGUUUCUCAUUAUGUCCUUCAGAGGCUAUGACGAAGGAAUAAUUAUGUGGUAUGCUUGAAAAUAAUGCUGAAGCUUCCUGGAGGCCAUUAACACAGCAUACAACACCUUCUCCAAUUCUGUAUAUUUUUUCUUUGAUAAACUUAAAACUUCGGAGAUGAAGUACACUAGAGCCUGCUUUUUGACUUGGCCAUCUAGCUUCUCCUGUACAAGUGCCGCACUCACUGCAGAGUGCGAAGCUGGCACAUACAAGAGCAAUGGAGCCCCUGGCGAAGGUGAAGUUAGUGUUGUUAAAUUAAUCAAGUAUUGCUUCAACUCUUCGAAAGUUUUUUACUGAGUCGAGCCCCAUUGAAAAACUUCGGCUGACUUCAGUGUUUCAAAGAAUGGCAGAUUUCUUUCUGCUGAUCUGGAUAUGAAUCUGUUUAAUGAUGCUAAUCUACCUGCCAGUCGUUGAGCCCCUUUCUUUGUGCUUGGCAGCUCCAUCCGAAGGAUAGCUUCAAUCUUGCUUGGGUUGGCUUUAAUUCCCUUUGUUGAUACUAAACAGCCAAGGAACUUGCCCUUCUUCACCCCAAAAACACACUUUUCUUGAUUUAACUUCAGGCCAGCUUGCCUGAAAUUGGCAAAUGUCUCAUGCAAAUCAGCAAUGUGAUUUUCUUGCUUCGUGCUUUUCACUAUGAUAUCAUCAACAUAGGUCAGUACAUUUCUGCCUAUUUGAGAAUGAAGGACCUUGGCUGUCAUUCUGCUGAAGCUUCCUCCAGCAUUUUUAAGCCCCUCAGGCAUCCAAAGAUAGCAAUAUGUGCCACUGGGGGUUAUGAAGCUAGUCUUCGGCUCAUCCUCCUUCUUCAUCCAUAUUUGAUGAUAGCCUGAGUAACAAUCCAGUAGACUCAUGAGCUCUGAAGAAGUUGAUGCAUCUACUAGAGAGUCUAUUCUUGGUAAUGGAAACUCGUCCUUUGGACAAGCCUUGUUAAGAUCUGUAAAAUCAAUGCACAUUCUCCAUUUACUGUUGGCCUUCUUCACCAUAACAGUGUUGGCUAGCCAUUCUGGUAUUUCACCUCUCUGAUAACACCAGCACUAAGAAGUCUCUUUACUUCGUUCCGAACACCUUCAGCUUUGUCUUCAGACAUUUUCCGAAGCCUUUGCUUUCUUGGCCUGAAGGAUGGAUCCACAUUGAGUGAAUGUUCAAUGACAUCUCUGUUGACACCACAGAGAUCAUUGGCUGACCAAGAAAAGACAUCUUUGUUGUUGAAUAAGAAUCUUAGCAAAGUCUUCUCUUGCUCUUCAGAUUGCUGAGACCCCAGCAGUACCCUUUGUUUUGCUAUGUCUUCACAUAGGAACAUAGGCUUCGGCUGAUCCGCUGAAGCAGCCUUCUCUCUUUUGUAUUUAUACUGCUCACAAGCUUGGGCUCCAUCUAUAUUAUAGGAACACAAGCUUCGGCUGAUCCCCCUGUAUUAAUUUGUUCACCUAUUUAUAGGCACGGGACGCCGGAAGUCGGUGCAGCCCUUCGUCUCAAGGCAUGUCGCUAUGCCGAAGCUCCUUGGAUGGUAGCUUCGGCGCGUACCUUCGCUCUGUGUUUGCUUCUGUGCUUAUCUUUCAAAGGUGUUUCUUCUUAAAGGAUCUUCGGCGAUGAAGCAGACCCCCAACAACUAUGUACACUGACUACUAUGAAAUUCUUAGAUUUCACUUAAGACCGAUAUGGCAAUGCUACUCGCUUCUAAAUACUUUGGGUAGCUAGUAACAUUCGAUCACGACAUAGAUUAUACUAACUGUUACGUAGAAUAUCGACUUCAUCAAAUUAUUAAAAUAGGAACAAACACAAUGAAAGAUCUUGUUAGCUAGCUGAUUAAAAUAUUAAACUUAUCUGUCACGCCAUUAACUAGAUCAUACAACGCCUCCAUAUCUACCAUUAUACUUUGCAUAAUUAUGCACCUAAAAUCUAAACCUCAUCAUACACAUAUGAUACAGCUAUUUCACAAUCAUGAACAUCACAACAUACGUAUGCUCAAUUAAUAAAAAUUAUCGUGACCAACAAUUCUAUUUAAUCCAUCUAUAUACCUAGUUGACUGAAAUAACGAAUCAUCUUACCAUCAUUAAAUACGACUUGAAACUACGAAAUCGACGACGUUGUCCGACUUGCGCAUAUCACCAAUACUUGACGAGCGUGGCACUGGUGCUUCCCUUUCGUCUUCCGGCGUGAACGCAAGGUGUGACAAGGCUGCUGAAACGAUGACGAUACCGGGGAUGCGGACGUUGAUGCCUCGGAGUCGGAUGUGGACACGACCACCAAACCCCGUGCGAGGACAAGGGAAGCCAGAGCGACAACGGCGCGACGACUUCGACGCUAAGCACCCGAGCUCGACGAUGUCGCGGCGCAACAGGAAAUAGUGACGCCAUGAUGGCCAGGGAGGCGUGGCUGGCGGUGCAAGGCGCUCAGCGCUAGGGCGAGACCGAGCAGUUGGAAGACGACGCAAAGAGCAGAGCUGGGCGUGCGCGUGGCCUGCGUCGAGCGAGCGUUGAUCGGAAAUGGUGAAAGACCGGGAAAACACAUGCAUAGAAUAAGGCUGGGAAUUUUCGCCUUAUCCGUUUUGGAGGGAUGAGAUGUUUUCUGGCCAAGGAAUUUUGCGUGUUGAGGGAGAUUUCCAUGAAGUUGCAUUGGCUAUUGGAGUGACACGAUGAAGAUGAC